UCCCCCGCUCGGGUUGUACUGCCUUCUCUUUAUAUUGAUUGAGGGUUCACUGAAAACCUCUUGGGUUGUUACUGGCUGUCUGCUGGAAUACGUAACUGAAAAUAUUAAUAUGUGAUUGUAACUGAAAUGACUGAUUCAUGCCUCCCUAAUGACUCCUGAUUGCCUGCGGUGGCUAAUUACUUCUUACACUUAUUGUGAUCAUUAUUGCAUUUGCAACAUAUUCUAUACUAUUCUGAUUUUUGGUGUGUCUUCGUAACAGCCAUAGUUAAUGUGUUGGUCUUCUUAAUUCAACUGAUAUUGGUAACUUUCUUAUCAUCAUUUUGCUGUUGAGUUUGAUAUUUGUUACUUUGAAAGACUCGUUCUGCCUCAUGGACAUGUUCUGGAGUUGAGUUCUAUCAGGAGCAGAGUCUUCAUUGUACUUAUACUGCUUGAUAAAGGCAUCAGAAAGAUCAAGAAAAGUUUUCACCUUUUCUCUUUCCAGGUGGAUAUACCAAGUGGUAGCAAUUCCUACCAGACUUUCUUGGAAGCAAUGGAUCAAUAACUUGUCAUUGUCAAGGUACGCCGACAUUUUUCUGGCAUAUGUGUGCAAAUGGAUUUUGGGACAAGUUGUCCCAUCAUAUUUCUCAAAUUCCGGAACCUUGAAUUUGGGUGGCAAGACAACAUCAGACACCAGACACAUCUCAAAUACAUUUUUAAUGUCUAGAUAGUUAGCCCCCUCCACGACCUUCAAUCUUUCUUCAAUCGAAUCCCACAUGUUCAUAUCUCCCUUCUCUUUCCUCGUAGCAUUAUGAAGAUGGACAUUGCUUUUGUUGUGUGAUUCAGUGGUUUGUGGUUUCAUAUGAGAGGUUGAAGGAUUAUCCGUAGUAGAUUUCCUUUGUUGUAGGGCUAAGAUUAUCUUCAUCAUUUCGCUCAUCUGUUCCUUGAGCUCUGUCAUCUCUGACUUAUUCAUCUGGGUUAUCUCUUCAUCUGCCAUAAAUCAAUCUUAAAGCCGUUUGUGGUAAGGGUGCUUUAGAGCAGUAAUGAAUAUAUCUGAGAUGCAAGUGAUUUUGAUCAAAUUAGAAAUGAGUAUUUAUGAAAUGAUUAAUGGAUGUUAUAAUGAGAUAAAUAGUGUUUUUUUUGUUUUUUUUGUUUUUUUGAUGAAAAUUGAAUGAUGAAAUUUUUAAUUAUUUUUAUAUUUUUUGAAUGUAUGUAUGAAUGCGUGAAUGAAUGAUUUUACGAAUUUUUCAUUUUGUGAUUUAUGUAUCAAUGAGUGAACAAAUGAUUGAAUGAUAUUUUGGCUUUGACUCAUUAUAUGAAUUUUGAAUGAUAUAAUUUUUAGAAUGAUGUAUAUUUUUUGUGAAUGUUUGAAUCAUGCAUGUAGAGAUGAAUGAUUUUUUUAUUUUAUUUUUUUAUGAAUGUUUUAAUGAUGUACAUUUUGAUGAAUGUAUGAGUGGAUGACAUGCAUGAACUUGAUAUAGUGGUGUUAAUGUGUUUUGAAUGCCCCUUAUGUAUGAUAGACCUUAUUUAGGGGAAAUAUAGCCUUAGUUACCAUAUAAUAAAAUGUCAUGAUGAAUUUGACACCUAUUAUACUAUUAAGGCCAAUUCUUGAGUUAAAUGAUAAAGUUGUGAACUUAUUCAGAUGAAAAAGAACACAUCCCUAGGGCAAUGAGCCCAUCGAUAGGAAUGAAAAAAUUAUCCCUAGGGCGCUUAGCCCAUGGUAAGGAACAAAAAAAAUUAUCCCUAGGGCGCUUAGCCCUUGGUAAGAAAUGAAAAACUUAUCCCUAGGGCUCUUAGCCCAUGGUAAGGAAAUGAACAAUUAUCCCUAGGGCGCUUAGCCCAUGAUAAGGAAUGAAAGAAUUAUCCUUAGGGCGCUUAGCCCAUGGCAGGGAAUGAACAAUUAUCUUGCCAUCCUUAUAGAAUAAGGACAUCAAAGUGCAAUAAUAUCCUCGUAACACUCUGUCACGAGGACUUUUUAGGGACCAAAAGUCCCAAUUUAUAAAUGGUGAAGGACAAAGUUUGGGUUAUGCUUCUCGUGUCCUAAAUAAGGUACACUUAUAAGGUUCCGGAUAGUCUAAAGGUCACAACCCUAUGGGGAGGGUACUAAGUCUUNNNNNNNNNNNNNNNNNNNNNNNNNNNNNNNNNNNNNNNNNNNNNNNNNNNNNNNNNNNNNNNNNNNNNNNNNNNNNNNNNNNNNNNNNNNNNNNNNNNNAAAUCCUGCAACGCGAAUUUUUAUCCUGGUUCGUUUGUUGUCUACUGCAAACUACAUCCAGGCCUCCUGGCUGACUUGGGAGAUUUCCUUCACUAUAAUUGAAUCAAUGUAUUUACAUGCACAUCAUCCAAUUACAACACUUAGAAAAUUACAAGAAAAUAAAGAAACCUAUUCAAUGGUUUGACUCCCUUCCUACCGAUAAAGAAAAUGUUUCUUUCGGCGUAGCCCCAGCCAAGAAUCUCUGUUCUUUCCUUUUCUAAAACUCUAAGAAAUUGUGAAGAAACACUCAAUCUCUAAGGUGAUAAGACACCACGAGAUUCCCUUUUUACAACAAUUACACAACAAUUACAAGAGUAAAAUAAAGCUAUUACAAAGCUCAAAUAUAACAAGAAGGCUUUACUCUAAAACAUACACCUAAUACAAACUCAUGCAAUAUGACAUGUAUUAGUUAUGAAAACAGAAGUUACAGAAUCAAAAAACUUCAUGAAAAGCAUCAAUAAUAUGCAUGAACAUGUGAGGGAAAAUAUGAGAAAUUAUAACAUGAAAUGCACUCAAUCCUAAAGCAUAGAAUCUCUCCUUUCUAAACUCACAAUUGCACUUAACAAAUAGAUGCAACAAUUAUCACGUAAAAUACUCUAACUCUCUAAGAAAUGCAACAUGCAACUUAUGACAUCAAUUCUGAAAACGCAGUUUAUAAAGAAUCAGUUCAGAAUCUCAGUUAAUCGAUUAAAAGCACUCUUAAUCGAUUAACGUGAUUAAAAAACGUUAACUAAUUCUGUUUUUCAAGUUUUCAAUUCCAACAACUUAACAAACAGUUAGGUUAAUCGAUUAACGUAAUGCCUUAAUCGAUUAACAACAUUUUAAAACAUGUUCCAGUAGUAACCACUUUUCAAAGCAGUUGGGUUAAUCGGAAAGUAUUAGUUAAUCGAUUAACAGCAUUUUUAAAUGUGUAUUUUUAAAUACAAAACCUCAAAUACGUUAUGCACUUAGUUUAUACAUGUUUAACACUUAGUUUAUGCCUAGAAUGCACAUAUACAUGUAUUUAUGUAAUGCAUGAACAUAUUAUGAAUGACAUAUCUCAAGGAUGAAAUGAUUUCAAAAGAUUUAUGCAUAUGAGACAUGUAUUCGGUGCCCUAAGCCUUGACUCAACUUAAACUAGAUUCUAGUCUAAGCCUAGUACCAAUUAAAGACUUAAGCACGUUGAUUUGUUGAUGAUCUUCAAGCUCUUAUAAGCACAGAUUGUCCUCAUCAAAACCAUGACAUAUGAAGAGAGCUUUCCAAAGUGUUCCUCUUGACAUGCACACUUUCACUUACCUCUACCAACUCUAUGAUGAUGGUAUGCAUAGAAGAUAUGUUCCAGAAGAAGAAGUGUCAAAGAUCCUGAGUUGUUGCCAUUCUGCCUCUUAUGGACCUGAGUUGUUGCCACUCUGCCUCUUAUGGAGGCCAUGCUAGUUUUGUUCAUAAAUGCAAGGAGUUUUGUUCUCACAUGUAUUCAAAGAUGCAAAGAGUUUUGUUCUCACAUGCAUUCCAAUGUGGCUUCUUCUGGCCACACAUAUUCAGAGAUGCAAGGACUUUUGUUCUCACAUGUAUUCUUGCCAAAGGGUGGGGAACAUAUAAAAAAGGCAUGAAAUGCCAAUGAACCCUAUCCUUGAGGUGGAGAUAUUUGAUGUAUGGGGAAUUGACUAUAUGGGACCUUCUCCUAUUUCAAACAACAACAAAUGUAUCUUGGUGGCAGACGAUUAUAUUUUUAAGUGGGUGGAGGCAAUUGCAUCCCCAUACAAUGAUGCUAAAACGGUCAUCAAAUUGUUUACCAAGAUCAUAUUUCCAAGGUUUGGGGUCCCAAUGUUGGUUAUUAGUAAUGGAGGCUCACACUUCAUUGAAAGACAUUUUGAAAACCUCUUCAAAAAGUAUGGUGUUUCUCAUCGGGUUGGUACCCAUUACCACCCUCAAACAAGUGGUCAAGUGGAAGUAUCAAAUCGUGAGAUUAAGUGCAUAUUUGAGAAGACAAUGUCUAGGAGUAGGAAAUAUUGGUCCUCAAAGCUUGAUGAUGAUUUAUGGGCUUACCGUACUUCAUAUAAAACACCUAUUGGUAUGUCACCAUUCAGGUUGAUUUAUGGUAAGCUCUGCCACCUUCUAGUAUAACUAGAGCAUAAGGGGUAUUGGGCAGUCAAAUUGCUAAACUUUGAUAUGAAAGUUGAUGGAGAAAAGAGGAAAUUCCAACUACAAGAGUUGGAAGAACUGCAAUUGGAUGUUUAUGAGAAUGCCCGCACUUACAAAGAAAGAACCAAGAUAUGGCAUGACAAACACAUACUCCUCAGAGAAUUUCAUGUUAGAGAACUAGUUCUCCUAUUCAAAUCCAGGUUGAGACUCUUUCCAGGGAAGUUAAAGUCUAGAUGGUCAGGCUCGUUCAGUGUCAUGCAUAUCAUAUAGAUUUUAAAUAUUUUUUAGGUUGAAUAUACAUAUUUUCAUGCAUUAGCAUAUAUUUCAUAUCUCAUUUGUCCUCUGCUUUGUCCUAUGGGCUAUCUGUCUGCUUCAAAUGAAAAAGUUUUAAAUGAAAAAGUAUGCAUGAAUGAUGAUUGUUGAUUUGUGACCCCAUUGAAAUUUUUUUUUGUCAUAGAAUAGUAGAAGGAAAGAUAUUAGAUUUGAUAAUUGUGAACUAAAUUUGGUUUAGUAAAAGUCCUUGUUUCAUAGUUAUUGUUAAAUGCUCCAAAUGUGAGAAAUUUGGACCAAACGUAAUAAGGAUUCAUAUUUAAAUUGACAAUUUCAUAAAAACAUUUUUUCCAUGUUUGUAUGCAUUAAAAUGAUAAAGGUAAUUAGAACUUUUUCUUUUGACUUUCAACCGCUUGCUAUAAACAUUGAAAAUUCAUUAGUUGUCCACUUUUGAGCCUGGACUGUACUGAUUUAUUCAUAGCUACUCAAAUGAGGUUUUGGGGUAAUUUCUGAUGUUUGGUUGAAGCAAUGGGAAAAGUAAAAAGGCCAUGUGUAGUGAAAGAAACCAUAAAAAGAUGAAAAAGAAAAAAAAAAUACAAUCUUUCUCUUUUAGAAAAUCAUAAAAAUGAAAGAAAAAAUACAAAGUGCAUUAAAAAGAGAAAGGAUUGAAAACAAAAUGUUGUAAAAAGAAUGGUUUAUCAAAAAAGGAUCAUAUGACAAAAUAAGGCUUAUUAAGUAAAUCCUAAUGCUUCAAUUGAAUGUCUGAAAAGUGUAAAUAUUUUUGGGAAAUAAUUGUAAGCCUUUUGAAUUACCAUUUCUUUGUCUAUCCCAUCUUAAAUCAUUCACCUUGGCCCUAUUACAGCUAUUUAAAGACCUCUUGAUUUUUGCAUGCAUUCAAAUAUAGUCAGUGGCGAUUUGGUCUACAAUCAAGGCUGUGGUAAUUUAAUUUCAUGAAAAUUCUAGCGAAACACAAUGACCUUUAAACACAUGAGAGUGAUGAGAGAAGAGUGGCCCUAAUUCAUGCAGUUGUUAUAACUUAAAGACUUAGCAUGAAUUAAAUUUGUUUAUGAUUGUUUUGUCUUGAUGUCUGGAUUGUUUCAAAACUAUUAUGAGAUUUCUAGUUAUUUUGGGACAUGGGUUCUAUAUCGUCAUCCAUACAUGAUUAUGAAAUUUAGACAUAAUACUUGCUUGAGGACAAGCAAGAGACAAACUUGAGGGGAUUUCAUGAGUGUGAAAUUAUGCUACAUUUGCAUUGCAUUUAACUUAUAUUUUAGGACAAAAUUAAGACUUUAGAAUUGUUCUUAUCUUUUAUUUCUCUUUGUUUAGGUUGAGCAGGUGUUUUUUGCUAUGUUGUGCAGUUUGGAUGGAUUGAAGCUAAAAUGUGUAGAGAUUAGGUGCAAUAAGAUGAAAUUCGGUGUUGAGGCUCUGGGAAGACCAACUGAAGGGCCAAAAGAAGUUGUGGUUGUUAUGAUCUAUUCAUAUUUUUUUGAUUUAUUUUGUUGACCUUAACCCAAUAUUUUGUAAUUAGGAUAAUUAAGGGUCCUCCCUCAAACACUUCUACACUUUACACUUCAUAUUACAUUUAUCUAAUCUAGAAUUUGGGAUUCUCUUUUCUAUCAUGAGUGAGUAAUUCCCUUUAUUUCUAGGUUGGGUUAUGCCCUUUUACAUUCAAUAAAAACAUAUGCAAUAUAAAACAAAUCCUUAUUCAUGAUGUGAGGAAAACGUAGGUGAGUGUUGAAAGUGUUUUUAGAGGUUUUCCCCCUCAAUAAAUUGUCCCCGACAACAUCGCUAAUUUGUUGAAAGAGUUAUUGUUGCUUGCUUUAUUGAAGUGCAAGUUUCUGAUUACUUUAUUUAAUGACAGGUCGAUUCUUUGCUCGUCAUCUCGGCUUUUUUGGAAUAAAUUCCAACGUCGGUUUAAUGGUUUCAAAAAUGUUCUUUUAAUCAGAAUUAUUAAUAAUUUCAUACCAUCUCGGCUUUGUUGGAAUAAAUUCCAAUAUCAGCAUAAUGGUAUGAAUUUAGCAAUUUCACACAAAUGAUAAUGAGUGAUAUUUAUUUUUGUUUUCCUUUAUUAACCAAACUACUUCCUUAUGGAUGGUUGGUAAAGAACAAAUAAAUAAAGCAAUAAAGUUAUAAUUUAACCAUACCACUUUUUUGAAGGGUUGAUAUAAAGAAUAAAGCAUAAAUAAAUGUUAGUUGCGGAAAUGUAAAUGACAAAAAAUAAAUGUUAGUUGCAGAAAGUAAAUGACAGAAAGCAAAAGUUAGUAGUUAGAUCACUCAUUAUAACUGUGUAUUUUUCCUUUUCACAAAGACACAAUUUAUGAAUUAAAUGACACUUUGAUUCAAGGUUUCUUUCUUUCUCAACAAAUAAAAUUUAUAAGUUAACACUUUACUAUUUUACAUUUCCAUCUCUUUCAAUAUUCAAUUGUAGUAUAGUAUAGGGUUAUGUCGAACCACAAGGAAUUGCCUAAUAGAACAUUAUUUAAAACAUGUUAUAUUACUAAUAAUAUUUAAACAUCUUUUUGUUUGAUUUUGUUUAUGAAAUAUUAACAAGUAAAUAUACAUAAACAACUAAUAUGCACAAAUUCUUGAGGAGGAAAUUGGUUGGAAGUAUGGAAUUAUUUCUAUACUUAAUUGAUUUUGAAAAAAUUAAAAGUUAAGUGUCAUACUUUCGGUUAAUUUCAUACAUCACUUCUAAAUCCUUCAUCUAGUGUCCUAGAAUGAUAAGACAAUUUUCAAACCUUAUGUAAUACACUAAAUAAUAGUUAAGUGUCACUCGUCGGAGUAGGUUGUCACACCCUACUUCAGGCUCCAUUAACUUUAUUUAGCCUUGAACAUAAGUUGCUUAAAAUAGAUGCUUGAUGUGGCAAGUGAACUAAGGUUUAGGUUGUACUUCUUAGUUCACUAGUCAACACUUUAAGAAGAAGCAUUUUUGGAUCUUUGAAUCAAGUUUUAGGUGAUCAAGCUAAAACUGCAUUAAGAACUUCAUAACGAAUCAAAACUUAACCAAAAGUAAUAACUUGAAAUUAAUUGAAUUCAAAAGAUGAUAAAUUAAAGAGAAGAAAUUACACCAUAAUCCAAGUCAAUUUGUAGGAGCAUGAGCCAUCUCCAAGGAUGAGAUGCUUUUUGGACCAAUAUGAGAUUACAAAAUUAUGUUUUUGUAUCUCAUUUGCCAUGUCCUUUCUCCUCUUCAAUUAAGAAAGAAACUUCAAAAUAAACUUACCUAAACUACUUUGGAGUAUAAAUUCUCCAAGAAAAUUACAAGAAGAAGAGAAGAAUUUGGUUUAGAGAGAGAAAGAGGAAUGGAAGUGUAUGAGACAAUGUGAAUUGUUAAAUGUGUAUGAAUGUGUUUUGCCUUUGAGGUUCCCUCCUAUUUAUAGGAGAUUCUGCCAACUGCCAAGCUGCUCUCUUCCACCGCCAAGCUAUUGACCAAAACUUUCAGCAUGGGUUUGGUCAUGGCUAAGCAGCUUAGUCACCUACUUGGGGCUUACUCACCCAAGCUAGUUAUGAGCUAAUGUCCCAACUAUUGUGAGCCCCCUCUUAAAAGCCUAUGGAGGCUACUUGGAGUGAGGUCAUGCAUGAUGUCAUGAUUGCUUGGUGGCUAAGUCAACUUUACCAAGUUGUUGGUGCAAACCGUCAGGCGCUUAUGUGGCACCACUCAGCUACCUGCUUGAGCAGCUUUGACCGUGCUGAUGGUGAUGUGGCCUGGUGUUUGCUGAUCUGGUCAGGUGUGUGGUUCAGAGAUGGGCGGUCCAGGUGCGCUGCUAAGCUGUCUGCUUGAGCAGGUUGGCUUGUGCCAGGCUUGUGUUCCAACCGUGCCAGGUUGGGUCUGACUAUGACAGGUCAGCUAGGCUUGGGCUUGGUCCAUGCUAAGCUGCUUAGUGAGCAGCUUCAAGUUGACUCCACAUGUCAAGCUUAAAAAUGUCAUGUGUAGAUCAUUUUGGCCUCUUUUAAGCAUCUUAUUUUGCAUUUGAUUAAUUCUGCUCGUUUAUCAAAAUCCUACAAAAAUAUAAUACAAAGAAAUACACAAAAGCGUAUAUACAAAAUUGUGAUAUUUUAUCCAAAAAGUGUUGAAUUAAGUUGGUUUUCUCAAUUUUGCCAAGGAUAAGUGCCAAAAAAAGUGUAUUAAAUUUAGGCAUUUUUGGCACUUAUCAGUGAGUCUAAGAGCAGUUGAUUUUAUUAAGGUCUUCAAGUGACGAGAAGUUUUCAAACUGAUCCUUAGUGAUGUGAACCUCUUGGAUAAAAGGCUCUUGAAGGAUCUAUCUUGGUUGGUGUUUGGCCCAAGCUCACGGUUGAGUAGAGCUUUUGAGAGUAAAGUAAGCAGCAGAAAUAUGAAAUUGGAUAAAAGAAGAUGGAAUAGAUUUGAGGUGAAGGCACCAUAACACUUGAGGUGUUGAUAAGUCAAAGUGAUGCUUGCCACAAGAACUUGGUUCUUGAUAAGAACUUCUAAUCUUGGUUCAACCAAGAAGGUUUGGAGAAUACUCUCACAAGGAUACAAUCUUUAAUUCACAAAGAAUUCAACUUAACUUAACUUGUUUAUUCCAUUGCAAAAGUCUUACAUUUAUAGGCAAGUCACUAGGCUCCCACGGUUGGCUAAUAAGGCUAAUGCAUGGUAAUCUUAACAUAGGAUACCAUAAGCCAAACGAAUCUACUCCUAAACUAGACUACAUUCGGAUGGUAAAGAUAUGAGCACAUGUAUUUCGUGUGCUUUAUUACAAUUGAAAGACAACUUAAUGACUUAGGCCUAGGAUUCCUUGGAUUCCACGAUUGGAUUGUGAUGAGCAUAGGAUUCCAUUCUUCCUUAAGUGCACGGCUCACAAUUAAGUCACGUGAUGAAUGAGACUUGAUGACUCCAUAAUACCCAUGGCUAAGCUUUGAUGAGCUCCACUGGAUUCUUGUUUGGCUUCUAAUUCCGCACAUGGGAUUUGUUUAAAGUUAAUGCCUUCUUAAUAGUCCUUGGGUGCACUUGUGCUUGGCAUAGGAUUCCUUUUGUCAAGGAAUGAAAUUCCCUCGGCUGAAUGUUGAUUAAUCAUGAACUAAAUAGCUUAGGAUGUCGUUGGUGCAAGUUGGUUGACUGCCAACGGCUAGAACAUGUGCAUAAUGCACCAUUAAUGCACCAUCAAGAAACCAUGAAGUCAUGCAUGACCUCACUUCAAGUAGUCCACCAUAGGCUUUUCAGGAGUAGCUCAUCAUAGCUGGUCCCGUAGCUCACAACUAGCCUUGGUGAGUCAAGCUUAAGGAGGUGACCAAGCUACUUGACCAAGUGCCCAAAUCCAAGCUGAAGGGUUUGGUCAGCUGCUGAGCAGUGUAAACAAGCAGCUCAGCGGUAGCAGGGAAAACUCUAUAAAUAGGAAGGCAUUUCCUUCAUUCAAAAGCACUAUCUCUUCCCUUAAGAAAAAAACAUAAUUCUCUCUUCUUAUUUCUUAGUUUGAAAGCUCGGUUCAUAGAAACUUUUGUAAGUAAGUUUUAUAGUUUUUAGUUUAUAAUGCAAGAGGAGAAAGGAGAAGAAGGCAAAUGAGAAGCAAAAAUCCAUUUUGUAAUCUCAUUUGGAACUUAAAGCAUCCAAUCCUUGGAUGGAUGGCUCAUGCUCCUAACANNNNNNNNNNNNNNNNNNNNNNNNNNNNNNNNNNNNNNNNNNNNNNNNNNNNNNNNNNNNNNNNNNNNNNNNNNNNNNNNNNNNNNNNNNNNNNNNNNNNAAGGAACCCGAAAGGGAGUAAAUAAAUACAGGUCACUUAACUUUAUUAUUCUUUUGUUCUUUAUUUAUUUAUUUGUUUCUAACAACUAACUAUUCAUCACUUUUGUACAUUAGAAUACCAUUAAACCGGUGUUGGAAUUUAUUCCACAAAACCGAGAUGGUAUUCAAAGGUACUUAAUAAUUAUGUAACAGGCGAUUGCUUCGAUACCAUUGUACUGGCGUUAGAAUUUAUUCUAACAAAGUUGAGAUGAGGCAAAAAAGGAAUAACUUAUUCACAUGAUUAUUAGAAGUAAGUUGUAACUAGAAUAUUCUUGAAACCAUUAUACCGGUGUUGGAAUUUAUUUCAACAAAGCCGAGAUGGCGAACAAAGAAUAAAACCGAGUUCACUUACUUAACCAAAUAAGGAAAACACACUGAAGAAGAGAAAACUAAAAAACCCUUUCAACAAAUUGGCGCCGCUUUCGGGGACAAUUUGUUGAGGGGGAAAACCUCUAAAAAAACCCUUUCAACAAAGUUCACGGCUUACAAUUAAGUCACAUGAUGAAUGAGACAUGAUGACUCCAUAAGGCCCACAGCUAAGCUUUGAUGAGCUCCAUUGGAUUCUUGUUUGGCUUCUAAUUCGACACAUAGGAUUUGUUUGAAGUUAAUGCCUUCUUAAUAGUCCUUGGGUGCACUUGUGCUUGACAUAGGAUUCCUUUUGUCAAGGAAUGAAAUUCCCUCGGCUGAAUGUUGAUUAAUCAUGCACUAAAUAGUUUAGGAUGUCGUUAGUGCAAGUUGAUAGGCUGCCAACGACUAGAACAUGCGCAUAAUGUACCAUUAAGGUCUCCAACAGCCACAUGCUAAUUCCACACGAGCAUUUUUGCUCCAAAAGCUCUAAAAGUGACUUAGGAUUCCUCUGGAUGAAAUUUGCUCAGGUGAAUUUAGCUCCAACGGUCCCGACAAGGUGUUUAAGCACCAUAAAUGUUUCAUUAAGCUCCUCCACGGUCAUAUUUUGAUUCCCUUCGAGCAAUCCUCCAACGGCUACAAAAUUAUUUAUUUACCUUCCAAAUAAUAUUAGACGAAGUUAGAAUGAUUUUGGUUUACGAAAAAUACAAGUUGGUCCAAGCAUUAAAGUGUCGGUUACACUUUUAGGCUUGGCUUGGUCAUCCACGAGCCAUUUUUUUAAUCUGGACAUUAUUUAUGGGUAGAAUUAUGAUUAAAACACUUAAAAUAAAUUAACUAAGUAUUGGACAAAAAUUAGCCCACACAUUUAUUAUCAAAAUUAAAAAUGUUUCAUGCUAACUUAAUUGACUAGGCCUGACUCGGUCAGGCUAUGCCCAGUGCCUGAUGUGGCACGCUAGGCACAUGCACCUCGGUCAGAUUUCCUGGCCAGGCCAGAUUAGCCCAGUGCCUAGUUCAGCACUUGGUGCGCCAGGGACCCCAACUCGAUCAGAGUUGUCUUAGUCAGGAUUCAUGCCUGAUGCGCCUGGUUCCAUGCUAGAGUGAAUUUUGGUGCCUAAGUCAGACCCGUGGCCUGUCUCGUGUGCAUGGCCUGGUCCAUCCUUGGUUCAGUCAGAACCAUGGACCAAGAUGCUAGUGGGCAUCUUUAGAUCCCUUGGACUAUCUUUGGCUCACCAUCAUGGAUCAACAUUAUGAGUUUUCCAAUGGCAUUUUGAGCCCUUUUUGCUCUAGCCCUAGUCAUAGGAACACUUAUGCCUUCAAGGCCAUCAAAAUCAAGUUAGGCUCUUUGGGGGUCACAUCACUUAGUUGAGUUGGGGUAGGGGACACUGCAUUGUCGUAUGUGAUAGGUUUUGCUCAUGUAGUUUCCAUCACAAACUAAGAUUCUCUUUAUCUUCUUGAGGUUGCUUUUGGUUCAACCAUGAUUCCUUUCAGCCGAGCCCAACAAUAGUACUCUUAAAACAUUCUCCCAAUUGAUGAGUGUCCUUAGGCAAUAGGGUAUAUGUAAAAUGCAUGAUGUGCAAGUGAAAAUGCAUCUGAUUUAUUUUUGGAUGUAUGAAAGAUAUGUGCCAUUUUUAUGCAUGAAAUAUAGAAAUGUAUGUAAUUUUCCUUUUCUUUGUUUAUAAUGCAUGAAACUACUUAAAAAUGAAAUCUUAAAUGCAUAUGAUAUGGAAUUUAAGUUAUGAAAUAAGUGAAAUGUUUGAAUAUGUAUGAAAUGUAUUUUAGUUUUUUAUGAUAAUAAAGGAAGGUAAUAAUAGUAACUAAUGAAAUGGUAUGAUGAAUAAUGAUUAGAAUUCGUGAUAUAAUAAUGCAUAAAAUACAAUGUUUGAAUGAUUUGUUUUUGUUUUUUUAUGAAUAAGUACAUCAAUGGAGGAAUAAGUAGAUAUGUGUAUGAAUGAUGAAUAUUUUUCAUGAGUAAGUAGAUAAGUCAAUGAAUGAUGAUUUAUUAUUAUUAUUUUUGAAUGCAUAAAUGAGUGAAUAAAUGUUUGAAUUAUAUACUUUUUCAUGAAUGAAUGAAUAAGUCAAUGAAUGCUUUAAUGGUAUAUUUUGAAUGCAUGGGUGAAUGAUUGUUAGAAUAAUAUAUUUUUGAAUGCACAUAUGCAUGAAUGAAUACAUAAAUAAGUAAAAGAAUGUAUGAAAAUUUUAUUUUUCCUUUUUAAAUACAUGUAUGUAUGCAUGGAUGAAUGUUUUUGAAUCCUAUGUUUUUUCUUCUUUUGAAUUAAUAUAUGUGUAAUAAUGCAAGAUGUGUGGCCCUUAGGGUAAUGAACCAUAUCUUGGGAUGAUUUAGUCAUCAUUACAACAUAUGGAGUGUCAUGGUGGGUUGACAUAAGUCAUAUAGUUUAGGCUAACCUAAGGUAAAAAUCGAUUACUACGAUUUUUAUGAUGAAAAUUACCCUUAGGACGAUGGAUCCUAUCAAGGGUACUUUACUUUGCAUGCAAAUAUGAGGUACCUAUGGUGUAAGGAUACUAAUAUGCAAUGAUAUCUUAUACCAUUGAGUUUGGAUUGUCACUUGGGUCACUUUGUUUAAGAAAUAAAUAAUAUUUUUUGAGAGAUACAAAUGAAAGCAUACUUUUUGUAUCAUAAGUUGGAUGGACUUGCAAGAUUUUAGAGAUCAUCUAAACACCAUAUCCCUAGAGGAGGAUAUUAAGGUAUCUAUAGUGUCAUCCUUUUAAAGUUUAGAUUUCUAAGGUGCCCAAAUUGCAUCCGAUAAAAAAGAAAGGAAACCCAAAUAUCAUAGGGAUAAAAAGUAAGACAUAUAGCCCACAUCGGCAAAACCAAUGAUACUUGGUGUAAAUCUGAAUGGUUCAUCGUGCUAAUAAAAAUGGGACCCAAAGUUCACACCAACAAAGCGGAUGUCCCUCAUAACCUAAUGUAUAGGUAUAAGACACGUGUGUAUAAAACGCAAGUGUGUUAUGAUGUGUGUGAUGAGAAGCUUGCAAACUUUAUUUUUUUAAUAACAAUAAACAAUAAUUAUAUAUAAUGAGUAAAGGUAAUUAAAUUAAAUAAAAAAUAUCAAACAAGGUAUAGGGUAUUAAAUUCAUGUUGUAAGUGGAUAUGGGUGACUCUAUUAAAUUGAGCAGAGUUGACAAUAGGCCUCGAUUUUCGGCUAUGCAACAUUUUUAGAGUCAUCACUACAUAUUUUUACAGUUAGAACGUAUAAAACAUUAUCUUAGAUUCUUAGCCCUUUUUAGUGUUAAUUGGUCUUUUAAGUUAAAGACUAGGAUUCGAGAGUCACUUACAUACCAAGAAAGAUAUUAACACCUUGUCUGUCAUACUAAGAUGAUAUCCUCACUAACUGGAUGAAUUAUUUCAUACCCGAAAAUUGUUUAAACAUUUAUUAUCAGAAGGAAAAAUAUUUAUUAUUUUUUGUUGGGUGUAACAAGAUAGGUGAAAGUGCAAAGAGUCAAGACCUACACAUUUAUGGCUAACCGAAGUUUUGAUGAAGCAAACAUAAAUGCAAGAAAGCUUGAAGAUCGUACAACAAAUAAUGAGCCGAAGACUCAUAGGUUGCAUCUAUAGAUUCAAGACUUUAUUAUGUUGACUUGUAAUUAGAAGUCUUAAGAUGUGUUAGUUUGAGUAUAGGUUAGGUAAACUUAAGUCGAAAGUCUCACAAGAGCUAAUAUAGAAUAAGAUUAAAAUUGAGACAUAUCAUCUAGUUACCUUAUGAUAAAUAGACUCAUGCAUACAUAUACAUAGUUUCAUGCAUUAAAAGUAAUAUAUUUAGAAAAGCUAUGUAAAGCAUGUGCAUAUCAUAUAGGUAUUUUACCAUACAUUCCUUACAUCAAAGAAAAACUUUUUUAACUCAGUAUAAUCAAUUAAGUAGUUACUGUAAUUGAUUAUCUAGAAUUUUGUUACUAACUGAUCUGAUUCUGUUAGCACGUUAAUCGAUUAAGUCACCAUAUAAUCGAUUAAGACGUAACUGAAAACUAAUUUUUAAUAGCCCGUUAACCGAUUAAAUGGAAUAAUCGAGUAAUAUCAGUAUCAGUAGGAUAAGUAUAAAGUCUCUAUUUCUUGCCAAUGUGGCAUAACUUGCAUAUUUCAAAAAUUGUUAGAGAGCAUACAUUUUCAUAGAUUGCUUUACAGUGCGAAAGUGCUUUUAGAAAAACUAGGUAGUGAAAGCAUUCUGAUUUAGGCUUAGAAUUUAACAUCAUUGCAUAUAGGCUCUAGUUUUCUAUGCUUCAAUUUCUUGCAUGUUAUUCUUGAUUUCUUUGAGAGAUUUGUGAAGAAAAUCUUUUCUAAAAAGAGUGUGAACCAUUUUUUUUGAAAACCUAAUGCAUUCAUUUUAUUGAGAAUUAGGAUCUUGAGGAUUUUCUUCUUUACAUUUUAGAUUGAGUUUCAAUUGUUGAAUCCGAGUAUUAAGUACUCAAGUCAACUCAAUAUAUUAUGUUUGAACAAGGAAGUUGAUCUCUUUGUGAAUUGCUUCACUAUGAGAGAGAUCUGUGUAAUCUUCAUAGAGGCUAAAAGAUCUUAGUUCAAGCGAUACCAAGGCUGGGGCCGAUCGCAAAAGGAUAGGAGAUCCUAGUAGGCGAUUUAGUUAGGUCAAACCUAGGUUAUCAAGCUCAUAGGGGCUAAGUAAAGAUCGGCUUAGUUUUUAUGAUUUUGUAAUUGGUAAUAUGUUUGUAAAACUCGCAAUUGCAAUAGUUGAAGAAAAAUCUCUCGAGAUCAGAAGUGGAGGCCUGGAUGUAGUUUGUAGUGAACCACAAACGAAUCAGGAUAAAAUUCUUUGUGCACCUAUUUCUAAUCCCUAAUAUUUUUACUUUCCGUCUUUACUUUGUUGAUUAAUUGUGAUAACAUGAGUUGCAUGUUAUAAUUUGUUUACUAUUUUUGUAAUCUCAUUAAUCAAUUAAUUGUGUAAAGAUUCGGUAACCAGUAACUUGUUAUUCAAGAAAUCAAAGAAUCAAGUUGUGAGAGUGUCUGGAUAAUCGAUUAUCCACAAGCAUAAUCGAUUAUAUCUGAGCAUUGUUUAAUCAAUUAAGUCCAAGCAUAAUCGAUUAACUGUAGUCUGUUUUAGUUUUGCGCAAAUAUAGGAAAAGCGGAACAAGGUAUCCGCGAUACCUAUUCAACCCCCCUUCUAUGCGUAUUCUGACUUGUUGAUACCCAACAAUAGGAUCUUGCUUCUAUGCAUCCCAAUGAGUAAUACGGAUCAAGAUUAUGUAGUUCUGUAGUAAAAAAAUAUUUUUUGGUUGGGUGAUUUUUAUUUUUAAGAUUUGAAGGGAAGAUGCAAUGCUUAAUGAUAGACUAAAGUACAACUUUUGUUCGAUACUGAUCCCAACUUGAUAGGAAAGAAGGCAUGAUAAUGAUCGCAUCCACUUUUCAAUUCUAAUAUACUUUUUUAUUUAUAAAAUAAUACUUAGAUAAAUGAUCAGCUCUAAUAAUUUGUUCCAUAUUUUAACAGAUUGAAGUACAUUCUUAAUGUUUGAUAUCGUCUCAUUUUAAAAGGGUAACAAGUAAAAUUUUAGUUAUUAUCUCAUUAAAUUUGUUAUAUAUUUUUAUCAUUUAUUAUUUAAUUCUUGAGCUAAAAAGGCAAUUAGUUUGUUACUGCCUGUUCUUCUAAGAUGAGGAAUUAACUUAUUUUAAAAUUGAUACAUGUUAUCUUUUUAAAAAUAAAGGCAGAUACACGUUUACUAAAUAUAUUAAAGUAAAAUGUGAAAAUUGUCCAUGUUAUUAAGGGAACUUUUAUUGCUCAGUGAUUGUUAUUAGCUAUUAGGAUUUUUAUUGAAAUUUGUAUUUUGCGUGCUAUUUUUGGAGUAAAUAAGAUAAAUAAAUAAAUAAACAAAGGCAAUGGUUGUAGAAAUAGAUGAUUAGUUUUAAUAAUUUAGUGCCCAGGUUAAGAGAGAAGUACAACUGUAUGUCCAAUAUCGCAUCUCAGCGAAAAGGUGACAACUGGAAGUUACAAACACAUUAAUCUUUUUAUUUAUUAUUUAAUGAAUUUAUAAUUAUUAAAUUAUAGCUAUUCAAAAUAUAUACAUAAAAGCUUAGUAAUUCAUUGUUGCUGAUUAUUCCCUUAUGUGGACGAAUUAAUUUAUGAGGUGUAGAUGUAUUGUUUUAUAGUGUAUGAUUUUUAUAUAUUGUUGGAUCAUUCACUAUUCGUGAUUAAUUAUCAUUUACGCUUCAUAAAAAUAAUACAAAUUAAUGAUAUAAGAUGUACUAAUUGUGUAUAAGUCUUUAUAUUAACAGUACAUAAAUAUUACACUCUCCAUUUAUUUAAGAAUACUGCCUUUUAUAUAUAUAUAUUAAAUAUAGGUGAAUUUAUGUUUCAUAAUUCGUCACUGUUAUUAUGCUUGCCCUUCGUGCUAGAGUUACAGUUGCCUAAGAGCAAUCACGAUAGUAAUAAAAAAUAGUUCGAAGGAAAUAAACAUAUUUUUGUCCAAGUUUAUCAUCAUAAUAAAGAAAUUGUUCUUGUUCUUAUUUUGUAACAUUAAGCUAAUUAAGCAUCAUUUUUAAGGUUGUGAUUCACCAUUAAAAAUGAAAAACAAUGUACAAGAGAAAGAAAUAUAAAUAAGGGAUAGGUUUGUGGAGUCUGUUUAAGAAUGGAAAUGGAGUUGCAUCUAGUAUUGGAAAUUAGGGUUACCCUGUCCAUGUUCACACAAUGUCCACCAAAGUUAGGGCGGACAUGUGUAUACCCAUUUUUAAAUAGGGCAUGAAAUAUCAUGCCCUGCUGCCCUAAACAUGGGCAGGACGGACUUGCGGGCCGUUCUAAUUUAAAAAAACUAAAAAUAUCUAAUACAUAGAACACUGCAUUAUAUUAUAUAUUGUCUCUUACUUUUUAUUUAAUUCCUUAAACAUUACAAUAUGCAUGAUAUCAUACUUGAGAUUACAUGAAUACACAGUGUGACAAUAUGAUUCAAAACACAAAACAUAACAUCUUGUUUUAAAUAAACCGGACAUGCAGUUAGUUGGUAAGAUAUUUUAUUUUGGAAAAUUGAUAUAUUACUUACUCAAGUGGUGAGAACAUGAAUUACUCUUGCCAUACUUGUUCCAUCAAAUUUCUUAUUGUAGUACUCAUUGAUGCAUGUGGGCCGCUCUGCCCGCCCGUUUGAAAAGCAUGUGAGCAAUAAGGGCAUGUUGGAUGGAUAUUUUAGGACUGAUGAACACAUUUUCACGUCAUGUCCGCCCAAAUCAUGCGGGCGGGCAGGCGGGUCCCAUGAGCAUAGUCCAAAUUGCCAAUUAUAGUUGCACUAUUGGAGCUGAUUUUGACUUGGAAAAUAUAAACAAAUAUAAAAUAAUCAUGAGCUUACUUAAGAUGAAAAAGAUGUUGCACCAUUGUGGAUACUUUAAGGUGAGCAUUUUUAAUUAUUAGGCUUAUAAUUACUAAAAAAUAUACAUAAAGAAGAAAACAAAUGAUAAUAAAGUAUAGAUAAAAUGCGGUGCAGAGAAAAGAAGUUUAACCUGUCUGGACAAAUCUUGCACCAGUGAGUUUAAUAUAUUCUGGCAGAGGUGUUUGGUCCUUUUUUCUGGGGUGUUGGAGAUUUUUGUGUGUGUAUGUUUUCUUUUCUAUUUUUGGGAUUUUCAGUGUGUAUGGAAAGAAUUUCUAGGCUAUUUUGGGAUUUCUUGGGAUUGUUUUCAAAAUUAUUUUUUGUUUAUUCACAAUGUGUGAUUUUCCUCUUAUUUAGAGGGGAUUUCAACAUAUGUGAUAAAAUAAAAAUAUAAUUCAUAAUUCACAUAAUCAAUUUAUAUUCCAAAACUUUCUCAUAUGAUUAGUAAUAAAUUUCAAAUUUUGAAAAUAAUCAUAAAUUCAAAUAUUUGAAUUAAGUAAUUUUGAAUUCGGAGACAUCUAAAAAAUAAAAAAUUUCUCUAAACAAAGUCCAAUAAUUUUUAUAAAGCCAAAAAUAUUAUAAUACCUAAAUGUGAGAACAACAUAAUAAUUUGACCUCUUUAAAAUAAUAGUAGUCUAAAACUCUUUUUGGGUAUAAAAUUCUAUAGCAACACUAUAAACAUCUAAAUUUUUUGCAUUACCUAUGAGUAGGUAAAAACCAAUUAUUUAACUUUUAUAACAUCACAAAGUGAUAUUUUGACUGCACUUUUUAUUUUCAUUUAAUUAUGAAACGAAAAAUAAUGGAAUUUUAGCAUGUGUUUUUUAGAAAAAUGGAAUCUUGCCAUAAUUAGGAUAAUAAGUAACCAUUAAGUUACUUAAAAUCCUUUUAAAUCUUAUUCAAAAUAAAAAAAUGAAAAUGGGAUAAUAUUUGAUUAUUAUUGAGCCAAUAAUUAUUCAUUAAAUCAUUUUAGCACUUUUUAAAUUUUUAUAUGAAGGAGAAAAACGAAAAUAGGGAAAAAUAUUUUAAAUCAUACAAAUAAUGGGUCAAUAAAGUGCUCAACUAAAACAUUUAUUAUUAUUAUUAUUAUUAUUAUUAUUAAUAAGAGAUAUUUGCAUUGGAAUUUGUAAUAAUUAUUUUGGAUCUUUUUGGAUUGGACAAAUUUGGAUGUUCACAAUCGGGUGUUAGGUAUUAAUGGUCUAGACACACCUAGAAGGGUGGGGGGUUGAAUAGGUGUAGUGGUUAUCAAUUACCGCUUUUCGCACCAAAACCCAGUUCUGGAAAACAGCCUAGAUAAUCGAUUAACCAGUGGGCUUAAUCGAUUAAAACGUAUCAGAAACAGAAUUACCAAAUUGGCUUCUUGCACAACACGUUACCAACAAACAAGUAGAGAUAUAGCAGACAUUUUUAUGCACAAUUAACAAGGAUAUGGCAUAGUAGCAGUAUGCAAAAUAUCAGCUUAAUACACGAAUUAAAACAGCUUGAAUUAUAAAAGAGAUGGAGAGAGAACACCUUGCACAAUAGGAUUUUUAUCCUGGUUCGCUUUGCGGUUCCACUUGCAAACUACAUCCAGGCCUCCUCUUUCGAUCUUGGGAGAUUUUCCUUCUUCACUAUAGAACACAAUGUAUCGUUACAUACACCAAUUCAAUUACAAGACUCGAACGAUCCUUUCUUAGAACCCAAAGAACUUCGUCACCCUUGGUUUGACCUUUCCCAAAACCGCCUCCCAAGAAAACCUUUCUUACCGCGAUUCGGCCCCAGCCAAGGUAAAUCGCCUUUUAUCCCAAGACCUCCAAGUCUUCAUGAAGAACACCUUACCUAACUACAGCUAGGAUUUUCCUAAUCCUUGAAUUACAACGCUUUGAGUUAUGAAUGAGUACUUAAUACUCAGAUUUUACAAUAAUGAAAACUCAAUGAUUAACCCACACUCAAGUAACACAAGCCAUCAUGAAUGUAGGCGAGUUAAUGCACAAUAUAGAUAAUGUAGAAUCUUUCUCGAAAAUCUCUAAACAGAAUGCAUGAACAUGUAAGAAAGAAUGAAUGAGAUUUAGCACAUUAAAAUCACAUGCAAUACAUCAUGAACAAUAUCAACCAAGUAUGUUAAUCUCUCUUUCUCACGCAUGCCUCUCUCAUAACAAUAUGAUCUCCAAUAGUUUCUAAUAAUGAUAUUCAAAGCUACACAUUUCUGCAAUUUACCAGAAUUUAUACAAAACGAAUUUGGCUCCACAAACCGUUUGUUUAGUUACGUAGUUAAAACAGAAAACAGUUAAAAAAGAAAACAGACACGUUAAUCGAUUAAGACUCCACGUUAAUCGAUUAACCAACAUAUAUCAAUACAUGAUUAAAUGGUAAACUACUUAUAUGUUAUGCUUGACACCUAUACAUGUUUUAGCAAUUAUGUUAUGCCUAAUAUGCACAUAUAACAUGUAUGAUUAANNNNNNNNNNNNNNNNNNNNNNNNNNNNNNNNNNNNNNNNNNNNNNNNNNNNNNNNNNNNNNNNNNNNNNNNNNNNNNNNNNNNNNNNNNNNNNNNNNNNUGUCAAUAUUAAUGGCUUGUGAGACUUGCAUCUAGGUUUACCUAACCCAGACUCACUAACUAAAGCACACAUCCCAGACUACCUAGAAAUAUAACUCUAUGGAUAUAACCUAGUCUAUAUAUGACCAUUGAGUUCUAGGCAUGUUGAUUGUUGAGUCAUCUUCAAGCUUUUACUAACUCUUUGUCUUUAUCAAAACAUCGGCAAAACAUUGCUAGUGCAAUCCUUGACAUUUUCACUUUCAUCGGAGUGCUUCUAGUUGGUCUUUAGUUAGAAGAAAACUGUUGGAGGUGCUAGGAAGAUAGAUUCAUAUGAAAAAUAAAGGCCAACUGUUUAUAAUCUAACAGAGGUCCAAAUUUUUGAAGAAAAACAAGCAACAAAUUUUAUGUGACUUCAAACUAAUGUUCUGAUGAAAAACAAAAAUGACAAAGAAUCGGGGGAAAUGGAUGAGACAAUAGAAAAUGAUAUGGUGACCUAAAGUCAGCAAGAAUGGUAAGGGGAUCAGACUAGCGACAAUGAUAAGCCCUUAGCAAUUCAUGAGAGAAGGAUAUCUUGAUAAGUUAUAGAUUCAACAAGAACCUAUGAGAGUCACUCUCACAGUGUGCACUAAAAACAAGCUCUAAACAAGGUUAAACCUGCUCUGUGCGUCUUGUCUCAAUUUUCGGUUGAAUAUUAGCUAUACGACUUAGAAAGAGGUUGAAUUCUAUUUCAAUCUCUCCUCACAUAUUUUGAAUCAUCAUUGUAUUUUUUUGCAGUUAAUAUUAAGAAAACUCUCUUUAAUAUCCAAUUUAGAAAGUAUGAUCUUUGAACAAGAGUUCUAAGCUUAAAAGUCAAUUACAAAUUGGGAUAGGCAUUAGCAACUUGUUCUUCCAUAAUAAAAUGGUAGUCUCUCUAAUUGCAUGAAUUUUUCUAUACUUAAAUUAAUUAUUAAAACAAAAUAUUUUAUAUUUUGAUUUUUUUAAGUGACAAAAGUUCUUCUUUCUCUAAUGUGACCUUAUAUGCAAUAGGGAAAUCACAAAUACGUAGCUCUGAGUUCAAAACUGGUUAAUAUUGGUUGAUUAAAAUCUUAGAAAUUAUUUUAAUUGGUAGAGGGGGGAAUUAACCAUAGAAGAGUCAACAUUGAUCUUUAACCAACUUCUCACUUUGAUAAAUAACAUAGGCACUACAAAUGAUCAUAAUCAUUUCUCUACUCGAAGUAGAAAGCAAGAUACGACGCGAGCCAUAUUCACAUUUAAAUUAUCAAAUAUAAUUAAUCAAAACAUUAUUUAUUUUUAUCGGAUAUUUUAUUUUUUCUAAAGGAGAAUUAAUAGCAUAAGAGUUGGCAUUGGUCUUUAAUCAACUUUCUAUUUCGAUAAAUAGCAGAAUAAAUAUAAAUGAUAACAACCAUUUCUCGGCUCGAAGCAGAAAGUAAGAUACGACCGAAGUCGAAACCUCAUUGUUAAAUUCUCAAAAUAAUUUUUAAUGAUUUAUUUAUUUUUAUUAAAUAAUUUAUAUUUCAAUCGGAAUUAAUACUCGAAGAGUUGAUAUUAGUUGUUAACUAACUUUUCACUUUGAUAAAUAGCAUAGGCAAUACAAAUGAAUGCAAUUGUACCUUAACUAGAAGUAGAAAGCAAGAUAUGACACAAUCAAUAAGUGCACUAUUAAAUUCUCAAAAUAGAUUUUACUACAUUUAUAUAUAUUUCAAUUUUAUUUAAAGACUUAUUUAUUAAUCAUGUUAGAAGACAUAGUUUAUUAUUUAUUUAAUAUUAAUUAACUAUUAUGCAAUUUUAAGUCAAUUUCAUUACAUAUAAGGAAAAUGGUAUAUAAAUUGAUAGAACUUUAUAUGAAAUAAAUAAAUAUGAAAAGACAAUUGGGGUUGAAGCAAACAAGUGAAAAGAUAAUCACUACAUGAAAUUGGGGUUGACUUUGAGUGGGAGACAAAUCCCGAGAGAACCUUUUUUUUAUUACUUUUUUCAACAAAGGCUGCCAACUAAAAGUAGAUUGCUCAAAUUUGGAAUUAAUAUGAAUGGACAAUGUGUUUUUUGUGGACAAGAAGAGAUAGUAGACCACCUCUUCUUCUAUGUCCUACCUCUUCAAACAUUUAGACUUAUAUCCUCAAUUGGCUGAAAAACACACACAUGCCAAGGAAUUGGGAAGAAGAACUUAUGUGGAUUUCCCAACAGACAAAAGGCAAAAAUACUAAAUGCAAAAUGCUAAAAUGUGCUAUUAUCGAAGCUAUGUAUGAAAUUUGGAAUAUGAGAAAUCUUUGCAUUUUCCAGGAUCAACCUAUUAAUGAAAAUAUUGGUCCUAACAUUGUAGAAAUCAUUUGUAUUAGGGCUAGUAUCAAUGCUAUACUAAAAUUGUGUUGUAAUACUCUUGGCUCUAGGUAAUUUCUACUUCUUAGAUUAGCCUCCUAGUUUUCUACCUGGAUCUACAGAUCGAUUGUACUUAUUUGCUUUUGGUAAUAGAAUUUCCUAUGUUCCAAAAAAAAUUAUUUUGAAAUGACAUCCCAUUAUUAUUGAGUCUGUUAAGUGCUCGUUAAUUCAUUUAAAACAUUUUUGUUUAUUUAUUAUUAAAAUAAAAUGGAAAUAAGUGGAGAGAAAUUAAUUUGACAUAAUAUCUCAUCAUUAUUGAGCCAAUUAAAUGUUCAUUCAAUUUUUUAUUUUUAUAUUAAAAUGAAAAUGAAAAUGAAAAUUAAAAGGGGGAAAUUUACUUUGAAAUGACAAAUGAUCUUUAGUGAGCCAAUAAAUAUUUUCUAAACCAUUUAAACAUCCUCUUAUAUGAGUGAGAAAUCCCAAAUUAUCUAACUUCUAAAAUUAUUUAUCAAACCAAAUUGUUUAAUUUAUUAAUAUUUUUGUAUAAAAUCAAAUUUGAUUCAAAAACUUUUUUAUCAAAGUGAUCUAAUUUCAUUAUAUAUAUAUAUAUAUAUAUACUUUUAAUAUUUAUUUUUUAUUUUUCCCCAUUUAUGGGUAAUAUAAUAUUUUUUAUGCCUUUGUAAAAAUUCAUAGUCAUUUGUACUGCUCCAACUAUUUAUCAAAGUAGCAAGUCAGUUAACGACCAACUUCAACCUUCUGGUAUUAAUUCUCAUUCAGAAGAUAGAUUAUUCAAUAAGGAUAUUAAUGUUUUAAUUAAUUAUUUUUUGCGAAUUUAAUAGUGAGAUUGUGACUUCUUUCGUAUCUUGCUUUCUACUUUUAUCUGAAAAAUGAUUACGAACACUUGUGGUGCUUAUUUUAUUUAUUGCAGUUGGAAGUCAAUUAAUGACCAACGGUGAAUAUUUUGCUAUUAAUUUCCUUUCUACCAAUUAAAAUAAUUUCUAAGAUUUUAAUCAACCAAUCAUUAAACAAAUUUCAAUAUAUAAUUACACAGUCUUGAUUUCUCUAUUGUACCUAAGGAUGUGUAGAAGAAAGAAACACUCUUGUCAAACAAAAAGUAAAUUAUUUUGUUUUCAGGAUUAAAUUUUAACAAAUAAUUUAAGGGUAUAAAAGUUCAUGCAAUUAACAAUGACACUGUUUUAUUAUUAUUGUUGGACUCUUGUGCUCAGAACUCUUGUUUGAAUACCAUAUUAUUUAAAUUGGUCUUUAAAAUAGAGUUUCCUAUAUUUUAACACCCAAAAUCAUAAUGGCGACUCCAAAUCUUUUGGAAGAGGUUGAAAUAGAGUUCUACCCCUUUCUAUGUUGUAUAAGUGGUAUUCAACCGAAAAUCAGGUUGUGACACAAUUGAUUCUAAAAUAUGAAGUACAUUUAUAGGAACAUGAAUUAGACAAGAUGACAUCCCCAUUAAAUAAAGUGCAAGUUAUAAAAAAACAAUAAAUACCUUGUCCCCACUAAGUCCUUUAGUGCAAGGAAGAGAAAAAUCUUUGAAAGGUUACAAACAAACAUAAUAAAAACUUCGGUUGGAGGAUAGAAGAUUCUAAAACCACUUAUUCGAAAGAGAAAAAAAUAAAAAAGUUGCCUGACCACACAACCUCAGGUCAUAUUUCUUCACAACUUCUCACUAUUCUAUACUCUAUGAUCAAAUACGAAUCAUAUAUAUGCAUCCUUGAUUUUAAUGAUUCCAAACACUAUUGUGAACUUAAUAAGGCUUAAUCCUUCACUUCUUGAAUUAGUCCAAGAUUUGUCAUUCAAAUCGUGAGCUCUCCACCCUUGGCACACAUCAUUGGGUUGAUUCUUUCAUAAAGGGUCGACCAAUCAGAUACCAUUACUGGCUUGGAAUUUUAUUGUUGAACCUUAUUAGUGAAUAACGUGACCUGAAGGUGAAUUGUUGUUGCUUGAAUCUAGUUAGUAUCCACAAAUACAAUAGUUGUACACAAUAUCUACUUUUUUACCCUUUUAGUGGCAUUCUUGUGACCCUUGUGGAAUUGGAGGAGAGUCUCAACCAACAAUGUGGGUACUGGGUUGAUUGCAAUCUUAUUAAUCUUGUAGAACAUGUGUAAGGCCACUCAGUCAAUCAUGUCAUAAAUAAAAGGAAACAAUAUCAAACUACACAUAGCCAUGAUAAAUGACGGUUUGAAUGAGUCCAAUGUUUUUCGCUCCUCCAUUUUGUGAAGUAUCUCUUCAAUAAGGUCAACUUUAUCCCUACGAACUUCCCUUGCUUAAUUAUAUUUUGGGUUCACACACCUAUGUUAGAAUUUGGUAGAAGAUGUUAUGAGAAGAAGAAGAUAGAGAAUAGUGAGAAGAAGAAGAAGAAUACAUAAGAGAAGAAGAGAACUUUAGAGAAAGAGAAAAUGGAUUUGAAAUGUAUUAUUAUUGUUAAUAAAGCAAAGCCACGUGCUCUUUAUUUAUAAGAACAGAAACAAAUAAGGGUAAUGUAAUCUAAUAGUAAUACAGGCUAGGUACAUUAAUGAACCUAUACUACAAAGAAGUCCAUAUACAUUAAGUGAAACUCAAGGAUUGCACUAACAUUUCCCCCUAAAUUUGGAGCCACCAUGGCAACGUUGAGCAGUGAACAAAUCAACCACAUGGAGUUUGUCUUUAAGCAUAGUAAAAAUAGAAGUAGAGAGAGAUUUGGUAAAAAUAUCUACAAAUUGAUGCUCAAAGGAUAAAUGCUCAACAAUCAACUAUUUUUUGAUGACCCUUUCUCUAACCCAGAAAAAAUCAAGCUCAAUAUGCUUAGUCCUAGAAUGCAGAACAUGAUUUCUAGAUAGUAAUAUAAUGCUCAACUUAUCACGGUACACCAUGAGAAAAAAGUCUUAAAUUGUAGCUCUUGAAGAAGACUCUGAAUCCAAAUCAUCUCACUAUUAGUGACAACAAAACUUCGAUAUUUCGCUUCAGCGGUGGACCCAGCAACCUAUCCUUGCUUCUUUGGCCACUUUUUUUUUAUAUGAAUGAGCAACAUUCAAAGAAAAAACAUCAGUAUGAGGAGGAUGAAUCCUCUCCAAAUAGGUUUCGUGAUCCAUGAGAAGUGAUUCUAGCUGAACAAAGGAGCAAAGUUCGGUUCUCUUACUAAUUGUGGAAAUGAAAGAUUCAUACUUAGAGGGAAGACCUUCAAGAAGCAGACAAACUUGUUCUCAUCCAGAUAUUACCUUGCCAAUAGCAGCAAGAGAAUGAAUCAAAGCUUUGAUGCGGACACAAACUCAGUCACAAACUAAGUUCCUUUCUUCAUAGUGCAAAGUUUUAAAAGCAGAAGUUGAAUUAGCGCAUGAAUCAACGAAUCAAAGAUAGUGUGUAUCUCAUCCCAAAUCUUCCAAGCAUGUCAAAGUCCUAGAACACGAGAUUGAACUGAUUCAGACAACGUUUGCAACAACCAUGAGACCAUAUGUUUAUCUUACUCCUCACCAUGAAGCAAAGCCAGAUUCAAUUGUCCAAACUCACGAUUCUCAUAUGACGCAAUACCCAAAGUGGUCAACCUUAAUUAUGAUGCCUUUGAAGGUAUAUGUGGUCCUAUGACUAGGGCAUAGGAAAAAAGGGCUCAAAAUGCCUUUGGACAACUCAUAUGUUUGAUCCAUGAUGGUGAGACAAAGUUAGCCCAAAGGGUGUAAAGAUGCUCAAUAACAUCUUUGUCCAUGGUUCUAACCGAGCCAAGGAUGGACGAGGCCAAGGGCCUGGCUAAGGCGCUAAAUCUGAUCCUAGCAUAGGACCAGGUGCAUCAGGCACCAAGCCUGACUAAGGCAAUUCUGACCAUGGCACAAGGCCAAGUGAAUUAGGCACCAAGCAUGACCGAGGCAUGCCUAACCGAGAUGAGUAUCCUGACGCGCCAAGUGUUGAGCUAGGUACUGGGCCAAUCUGGCCUAGCCAGGAAAUCUGACUGAGGCGCAUGCGCCAAGCCUGCCACAUCAGGCACUGGGUGUAGCCUGAUCGAGUCAGGCCUAGCCAACAUGCUUAGCAUGAAACAUUUUUUAAUUCUGUAAUAAUUGUGUGGGCCAAUUUUUGACCAACACGUAUUUUCAUUUAUUUUAGUGUUUUUUAGUAACUUUGCCUCGUAGGACUUAUACCAAGCCUAAAAGUGUAAUCGACACUUUAAUGUUUGGACCAACUUUUAUUUUUAAUGAACCAAUAGUACUCUAACUUUGUGUAAUGUUAUUUGGCAGGUAAAUAAAGGCUAUUUUGGUUGUUGGGGGGGAAAUGCUCGUGGGAAUGAAGUAAGUGAUCAUGGAAGGCUUAAAUGGGGCAUUAAUGGUGCUUUAACACCUUGGAUGGAUUGUUGGAGCUUAACCCACCUGAGCACAAAUCAUCCAGGAGAAUCCUCUGUCAUUUUCAGAGUUGUUGGAUCAAAGUUGCUCGAGGGCAUUUGCAGUGUGCUCGCUGGAGACUUUAAGUGUGCAUUAAUGGUGCUUAAUGGCUUUGUUCUAGCCAUUGGAGGCUUGGUUUUCUGGAUAAAUUCACACCAAAAACAUCCUAGGCCUUUUAACUCAUCUUAUUUUACCAUUCUGUCGACAAAAUUCUCUCCUUGAAUAAAGAGAAUCCUAUGUCAAGUUUAAGUGCAAUCGAGGGCCACUAUGGAGUCCAUAACUCCAACAUUCUACCAUGUGCUAAAUUGUGAGCCAAGUCUUCAAAGAAUACAAGAAUCUUAUGAAGCUCAUCAAGUCUUGCUGUGGAGUAUUAUGAGGACAUUAAGUCUCAUUCACCAUGUGCUUAAUUUGAUGUCGUGCACAUAAGGAAGAAUGGAAUCCUAAGCUAUUCAAAGCUCAACUGUGGCAACAAUGAUAUCCUAGGCCAAUAUCUUAAUGUUUUUCCUUUAAUGUAAUAAAGCACACGAAUAACAUGUUCUAUACUAGUUGCCAACCGAGUUUAGCCUAGUUUAGGAGUAGAUUCAUAUGUCAACUAGUACCCUAUGUUGGAUCACCAUGACUUAGUAUUUAUUGCUUGUGCUUUUAUAACCGUGGGAGCCUAGUUGGCUUGCCUAUAAAUGUAAAUCUUUUACUAAUGGGAUAAACAAGUUAAGUUAAGCAUAAUUCUUUGUGAAUUGAGGAUUCAAUCAUUGUGAGACUAUUAUCCAAACCUUCUUCAUUGAACCAAUAUUAGAAGUUCUUAUCAAGAACCAAGUUCUUGUGGCGAGCAUCACUUUGGUUUAUCAACACCUUAAAGUGUUGUGGUGCCUUUCACCUUAGGUCUAUUUCAUCUUCUUUUAUCAUACUUUUAUAAUUCCACUAUGUACUCAUAAACAAUAGCUCAAUCCAACAGUGAGCUUGGCCAAACACCAAUCAAGAUAGAUCGUGCUAAGAGCCUUUAUCAAAAGGGUUCAUAUCAUCAUCAGACAAAAAAUGCAGAGGGAUUUCUGGAUUGACGACAUACCUUUCAAGGAGAUGUAAAACAAGGACAAUUUCAACCUGUUGCUCCCAUAUAAAAUAGUUUUUAUACAAAGCUUGGAUGAAAUAACUUAGGAGAAGGUUACCGCCAAUGGUGGAACCACCGUCAAAGGCCUUGAUGGUAGAGAUGGCAACGUUGGUGCCAGCGGAAAAGAAUCCAUGGAGCUCGGGAUCUAGAAGCUCUAAUACCAUGUUAGAAUUUGGUAGAAGAUGUUUUGAGAAGAAGAAGAUAGAAAAUAUUAAGAAGAAGAAGAAUACAAGAGAGAAGAAGAGAACUUUAGAGAAAAAGAGAGAUAAAAUGAAUUUGAAAUGAAUUAUUAUUGUUAUGAAGGCAAAGCCACAUGCUCUUUAUUCAUAAGAGCAUAAACAAACAAGGGUAAUGUAUUUAGUAGUGGUAAUAUGGUCUAGGUAUAUUAAUGAACCUGUAAACACUCAAUUUUGACUGGGGGUAAUUUAAUUGAUAAGUAAAUAAUCGUUGAAGUGAAGGUAAGGCGAUAAACUAUUUUUGAAAUGGAAUUGGGCCCCUUUGGCCCAACCAGAUUAGGGUUGGAAACCCUAAUCCUAUUCCCCUUUAUAAGCCUAAGUUAGCAACUAGGAGAACCCUAAUCAGCAAAAUAAGAAAAGAAGGCAAACCUUGUUUUAAAAAAAUAGAGAGAAAUGAGAAGAGAAGAGAAAGAGGAGUAGUAACCAGUAACAAGGAAAGGAGUUCUCACACCACCUUCACUACCUUCAAGCUCUCUUCUAGGUUCAUUUACUUGUUUCUUUUAUUCACUAUAUGUUUUAGUUUUAUCAUAGUAUGUGUGCUUGUGUUGUUUAUAAAUUACAUAAAAGAGUAGAGUUUUAAUUUUGUUUUUACCGGAAAACCUCAUCUGUUUUGAAGUAGGGGUUGAUGGAUGGUGUUGGUUCAGCCUUAAGCCACUAUCGCAGUCCCACCGUGGUAUGGAACAAAAAAUUGGACAACAGCCAUGGAGGGUUGUUUGUCCCUAGUCGCGCUCAAUGGGCUAGACCACCCUGUCCAGCGGCGGUCCUCGUAGCUAGCUGCGCCAUCUCCGCCCUGGAUGGGUGGUGGUGCACCACUGCGGCCUCUGGCCAACCAUGUGGGUUGCCACCAUGACAACCCUAAUCCUAAACCCCAAUUUAAUUUUAUCCUAACCCCAAAUUAAUUUAAUUUCAACCUAAACCCCCAAAUUGAUUUAGACUUAAAUCCCAAAAUUAAUUUAGACCCAAACCCCCAAAUUGAUUUAGACAUAAAUCGCCAAAUUAAUUUAGACCUAAACCUCCAAAUUGAUUUUAUCCUAAAUCCCCAAAUCAAUUUCAAAUACUACCCCCUGAAUCCCCAAUUUGAUUAUUACAUAUUUAUUAACUUUUUGUUUUUUCCUUUCUUAUUACUUUUUUUAUUUUUUAUCAUUUAUUAUUCUGUUUUAUAAUAAUAAUUAUUUUUUUAUUAAAUUAAGAAUGUAUAUAUAUGUAAAAUGUAGCAAAAAAAUAAAUUUUAAGAGCAAUAAGAUGUAACUCAUUAUAAGCUUAGUGCCUUGUCGCGUUACCCUAUGUUGUAAAUUUUUUACAAAUAAUUUUUUUAAGAUAUAUGAGGUAAUUUACUAUAGGCCUAGUUCCUUGACGUGUUACCGUAUGUUGUAAUAUCUUUUCAAAUAAAUUUUCAAAGCAAUAUGAGGUAACCCACUAUAGGUCUAGUGCCUUGUCGCGUUACCCUAUGUUGUAAAUUAUUUUCAAAUAUUUUUUAAGUAAUAUAAGGUAACCCACUAUAGGCCUAGUGCCUUGUUGUGCUAUCUUAUGUUGUAAAUUCUUUUCAAAUAUUUUUUUAAAGCAAUAUCAGGUAACCCACUAUAGGCCUAAUGCCUUGUCGCCUUACCUUAUGAUGUAAAUUCUUUUCAAAUAUUUUUUUAAGCAAUAUGAGGAAGCCUAUUGUCUUAUCGUGUUACCUUAUAUUGUAAAUUAUUUUCAAAUAAUUGUUUAAAACUAUUUGAGGUAAUCCUCUAUAAGCCUAGUGCCUUGUCGCGUUAUCCUAUAUUGUAAAUUCUUUUCAAAUAAUUUUUUAAGCAAUAUGAUGUAACUCACUAUUGGCCUAGUACCUUAUUGUGUUAUCUUAUGUUGUAAAGUCCUUUCAAAUAAUUUUUAAAAGCAAUAGGAGGUAACCCACUAUAGGCCUAGUGUUUGUCUUGUUAUCUUACUUUGCUAACUUUAUAAUGAAAAUAAAAAAAUAUUCACCAAUGAACUAUUUUCUGAAAGAACAACGUAGCCUUUAUUUCUCCAUUACAACUAAAGAUACGUAGGAGCAGGUAUUUCUCUGUCAGGGCACAAAAAAUAAAAAAUAUUUUUUUACUUUCUUUAUUUUAUUUAAUAAUGUGAUAGUAAAAUUAAUGUUUUGAAUAAAUAUUCACAUAAUUGAUCUUGGUACCAUUUUAUAACGGGUGAUAUGGGAUGCCUAAUACCAUUCUUAUCCUUAACCAACUUCUGAACUUAAUUUUUCUGUGUGAGUAGAUCAAUCCUUAUUUUUAAAUUGGUUUUUCAUGUUUUCUCUCUAAAAAACAUCAAUGUUGACUCUGUUGCCUUUAUUUGCAUUUAUUUUAGUCGCGUUCAUGAAAGUGGGGGUAGCGACAGCAUGAUGACUCCACUAGGGACAGCUGAGAGUCAUGCCUUAAAAGAUUAAUUAUGUAGAUGUUUAGUUCAUUAUUUUUAUUUUAUCGUUUCAUUUUAUUAUUGUUUUUUGUCUUUGUUUUUUAACUACUUAUUUGUAAAUAACUCUUGUAUGUAGAAUUUGUGUUUUGCUAUCAUGUACAGGUUUUGGGGUUAUUGUUGGGGUUUUAUGCAUUGUUAUUGUUGUGGUUUAUUCACCCCCACACACACUGGUACUUAUCAUGCAUUGUUACUUCGGCCGUCUAUCGGGCAUAUUUACCUAUUGUUAGUGAUUCAUUUGCUUGUUGUCAUUGGGCCUCCGUGCAUAUUUUGAUUUUGUGUUGAUGUAUCACACAGAUUGUUACUGGUAUUAUUAUGGAUAUGGCUCCCAUGAUGCCUCGUACAUCUUCAUGUCAUAUUUGUGAUAUACGGGUCAUUAGCUUCCACUGGUGACAGGGACCUAGAGGAAGUCUAGUACUGCCAAAUUUAGCAUAUAUGGACCUUAGCACUUCACCUUAGGGUUAACCCUAUAGACCCAAAUUGACCUUAUAGGAUAAACCACCUUUGUAUAGGACACAUGAGUAUAUUAUUUUUUAUUGAUAUUUAUUAUUCGGCAUAAAGUCGAGAAAAUUUUCAUCCUACAAUCAUAUUGACUCACCAUCACAUGAGCCUAAGUGAAUUAAGGUACCACUACACUUUGGUAUCUUUAUGCCACGAUGGAAGGCUCACAAAAAAACAUUUCAUAAUUUCAUCCACGUGUAUAUCAUGCACUCAUGAAAAAAAAUCAUAAUAGUAUAUAUAUACAUGCCAAAAAAAAAAGAAAAAAAGUCAUAACAUUCACAUUCAUAUCAUGCACUCAUGAAAAAAUCAUAAUAGCAUCUAUAUGCAUGUCCAGAAAAAAUAAAAAACAAUAUUAGCACCCACAUGCAUAUCAUCCACUAAAUAAAAACAAAAAGAAAAAAACAAACAUCAUAACAUCCAAGUGCAUACCAUAAACUCAAAAAAAAAAUCAUUUCAUUGUAGCAUACAUAAGCAUAUUAUGUGUAAAAAAAAGAACAAAAAAACGCAUUAUAUACUUGCAUACGUGCACUCACGUAUAACUUUUGCAUAACACCAAUCAUUCAAUUUCAUGCAUGUCGCGUCCCGAAAAUGAAAGAAAAAGAAACGAAAAUAGGGGAUUCAUGCAAGAUUCAUGCCAUUGUAACAUUUAUUAUACCACUUAUGUAAAAUGCAUGCCUCGAAUCAUACAUCUAUUACCUACACAUGUGUGUAAGGUCUAACAAUAUCUUAUGCUUUUUAAGAUCCUUUAUCGAACGAUAUCUCAUUCUAUAUAUCAUAAGAUCAUGAAUUAUCAAUAGAACAUAUGCAACCAUAUUGUGGAGCCCGCAUGCUCUCUCUAUGAUUAUUGUCAACCACUACACGAUCUAGAGGAGUUAUAACCCUUGAAAGCGGUUGUGAGAUGAUCAACUUGUUAUAGGGAAAGUUCUUUGUUUGAUAACGUAAAUAGUUUCAAUAACUCAAAAUAAUUUUUUAAACCUAACUCCUUGGGAGUUUCAAUUUUAAAAUUGGAAUCAUUGUGUGACCUAAGGAAAAACAAUGCUAAUCAAACUCAUGUCUUCAACACCAAAGCUCGAACAACAACAAAGGCUAACAAUUCACAAAAUGAAUGGAUCUAGGUGUCGACAUAGAUGAUGGAAAGAGGAGAAGGGUUCUGUUAUUGAUCCUUAUCUCUCCCUCCCUAUCAGUGCCUUGGAGGAAGACAAAUCAUCCAUAAUUAUGUCAUCUUUUCUGAUGAAGACAAUGAUCCUUUUAAAAAAUGGUAGUUUGAGCCAAUGAUUGACAUAGUUGCAUAAUAGUUAUUUGAUUAUGUUGUAAUUCAUAUGCUCUGGAUUUUCUUUAGACUUAUAUUUAUGUUACUUGAGACAACAUCUUAGUGAAUUUGAAUGACUAUCUAAUAUUUCCACCACCUUCAUCCACUCUUAUCAUCUUCUCCCUCAUAUAUUUAUCCUUCUUUCAUACCAUUGCGAACAUUCAUAUUUUGUGUAUCGUUUCUUUUCACGAUGUUUCAUAAAUCAACACAUGUAUCACAACUUUGUAUAGACUUUGUCUAGUUAUACGGUACUUGAAAAUUUAUCAAUUGAUUCUUUUGCGGUACACGAUAAUGAUCCCAUUGAAUUGGUGAUGGAGAAGAGGGUCGAGGAGUAAAAGAAGAGGUAAUGAAACAAUCGGAGGGAAAAUGAGAAUGUGUAUUUUUAAGAACAAGAUUGCAACUAAGAGGGGGGUGAAUUAAUUGACUUAAAAUAAUAGUAACUUUUUCUGCAAAAUGUACGAGUUAAUGUGCAGCGGAUAAUAUUGCAGAAAAUAAACAAGAAUAAAUUAAAGAGGAAAGAGAAAGGAGAGUACACAAGGAUUUUAUACUGGGUCACCUUCUUGUCCACCGAAGGCUACGUCCAGUACUGUACUCUUGCAGCACAAGAGAUUUUCCACUAAAUAUUAUGAGUUGUAAUUACAAUAUCUCACCCCGAGAUCUCUAUGUACCUUACACACUUACUAAUACUUAUCAUCUUGGAAAACACAUUUCCAAGUAACUCUAUUCCCUUUCUAUUCACACCCCGUGAAAGAAAGUAAUUACAAUGAAUGAAGAACUUGAAUAUGACUUGGAUUGCCUUUACAAGUAUGAAAUUUAAUAACACUUGCAUCCAAUCAACUCUCUUUGUAUACUUAGUAAUAAUGCUCUUUAAGUUUAAAAAUCUUUCAAACACUUUACUUCAAGCAACUCAGAAAAAUAGCUUAAAAGUUUGAAUUCAAGUUGCUAGAAGUGCAGAAAACUAUUUCAGAAAAGUGUAGGAAAGUUGUGAGAAAAGUAUAAAAGAGUUAUGAAAGAGUUGUUCAAAGAGUUGUUUUCAUUGUAAGUUCUAAUACCUUUAAAUAAGCAUUCCAAUCAGUCAUUGUGCCUUUAUGAAUGAGUAGAAAUUGUUUGUGAUGAAGGCAUUUCGUUUGGGAUGAAAACUCUUGAGUUUCAAAUCUGAAAAACUGAUGUAACAACUCUCAGUAAUCGAUUACAACAUUGAGUAAUCGAUUACUCAAGUAUUAUGUCCAUUGUUUUAUUUAAUUUUGAAUUAGAGUAAUCGAUUACUCACUUUGAGUAAUCGAUUACUCAACUUUAAUAACACUAGUAAUAUGUUACUCAAAGACAAUAAUGGAUUACUCUGAUCAGUUUUAAGUUGGAUAACUGAUUCUCACUCAUGUAACCUGUUACUCAAAUUUCAGUAACCUGUUACACAAUAUUUUGAAAAAUGAUUUCAUUUAAAACUUAAAGUGUUUCAAUUUCUUUUAAAAUAUUUUGAGCAUUACUACUUUAGUAUAUUAAAGAGUAUAGGAUAGAAGUACCUAUAGAGACUUAAUCUAAUUUUCUUGAAGCUUUAAUCUUCUUUGUCUUCAUAAGUAUUCUUCCUUUUCUUCUUUUUGGUGAUGUUGGUGUCUUCAUCAAAACCUUGCCAAGGUCAGGAGCAAAGAUCUUCUUCACAGUAUAAACUAAAGAGAUUUGGACAAAGCAAACCUGAAAAAUUAUCUCAUUGUUGUUUUAGUCGAUGGUGCGGAUAGAAGUCAUAAGUUAUCCCUAAUGAACGAAUAUGUGGGGCACCAUAGAUAUCAAUGGUAUACGGGAUAGAAGUUGUUUCACCCAUAGAAGUAGUUAUUUCCUUGUUAAGAGUCUUGAUGGAAACAGUGCAAAAAGAGUCGGUAUGGGUUAAACCCAAUUAUAAGCAAUUGCACAUGAUUGGCAAGAAAGUUGGUGACCAUUCACCAUUGUCAAUUAUACCAAGGUAGAUUGGCAAGAGCUUUUGAUUAGAAGUUUCAUCCUAGAUUCGAAGUGGAGGACUUAGUGAUUAAAUAGUUCCUCCCAAAUCAAGAAGAUGCUCGUGAAAAUGUGCCCCAAAUUAGGAAGGUUCCUACAUUUUCAAGAAUAAAUUCCCAAUGGGGGCUCUGAUCUUGCAAGAUGUGGAUGUGGAUAUUUUACCCAGACCUGUGAACACAAAACGCGAUUAAGAGAUUUCAUACCUAAAAUGGAAAAUGAAAAAAAUAAAAAGAAUAAGGCAAAACCUGAUAGGAUAGAAACCUGAAAGGACGACCUAGGGUAUCAAUAAAAGACCGGUAGAUUGAAAACCCAAAAAGGUGACCUAGGUAAAAUUUAAGGCAAUAAAAAGACGUUUUUCUUAUGAGUCUAUCACACUAUGAAAGAACCAAGAUCCUACAUAUGUUUGUGCAUCAAGUGAAAUAGUAGAAGUUUCGAGCAUUGUGAGAUGAAACAGAAAGUUCUUGGAAGAAUCAAACAUGGCUAGCACGAUGGUCCAAUUAUCCGAGCAUCUCGGGAGAUCAAUUGAUGAAUGGACAAUUACCUUAUACUGGGGCAAAAUUUUGUAACAUUUUCUCGUCUUACAAGACAUGGAUGAAAAUGUUUUACCCAAACAUGUGAAUACAGACGCAGUGAAGAUGGUCUAUGCCAAAAAAUAGAAACUUGUAAUAAAAGAAAAUCCCGUAAGGUUGAACACCCAAAGGGCGACCUAAUAAAAAAUUAGGGUAUGAACCAAAGUUUUUUAGGUUGAAAACCUGAAAGGUCUACCUAAGUAAAAGUUAUGAAUGGAAAUAAAUUCUCUUGAAAGUCUACUACCAUUGGGGUAAGCCAGAAUCAUCCACAUGUUUGCACAUCAAGUUGGAAUUAUAGAAGUUUUGGGCUUUAUGGGAUGAAAUAUGAAGUUCUUGGGAGUACCAAAGAAGGAAAACACAAUGGUAAAGUUAUUGGCUGUCUCAGGAGAUCAAUUGAUGAAUGAGAAAUUACUUAAUACUAGGGCAAAUGUUUUGCAUAAUUUUGUAACUUGUAACACCUCUCGUAGCACAUAUAUCAAUGAACAUUCCCAUUAAAAUUACUUGAAUACCAAUAAAAGAAAAUUUAUUCAUCUCCCAACUAUACAUUUAUGUGUUCAUGUUCAUUUAGAUAAGUCAAGUUAUAUAAGUAUGAUGUUCGAACUAUAUAAUCAGGUAACUCUUAUGAUAAUAUAUUUCACUAGUGGUUUAGAAUAAUAAAAUUCAUCGAAUCUUAAAUUGUGUGUGUAUGUCAAUGGAGAAUUGAAUUGCCAUGACUGCUAGUUUGCGGUGUGAGGAAAUACCACAAAUAGAUCUUGUGGUCCUAGAAAGUGGAAGAAUUAAUCAUGAUCGAUCUCGACUUGAUUAGUCGUUGUCUACCGAGAAAGCGUUAUGGUUUCAUAUAAAUCAAACUUCGUGAUGAUGAUUAAGUCAUUCACAUAUAUGUAAUCCAUUAUUCGUGCAUCAUCACAAAUAUCUUUGCAUUACUCAUGCAUCAUUUGCAUUCGCACCAUCAUAUACACACAUGGUUGAAAGUCUUUGACUCCAAGUCUCAUUUUAUUUUCGACCAAGAGUUCCUCAAUAUUUGUGCGUUCUUGUGGUCUCUCUUUGCACUCGACCCCCUAGUGGUCUCGUGUUGUGCCUUGUGACCCCUAGUGGUCUCAAUUUAUUUUUGACCUAGAGUUCCUCAUUAUAUGUGUGUUCUCGUGGUCUCUCUUUGCACCCGACCCCAUAGUGGUUUCGUUUUGUGCCUUGUGACCCCCCAGUGAUCUCAUUUUAUUUUCGACCCAGAUUUCCUUAUUAUCCAUGCAUUAUCGUGGUCUCUCUUUACACUUGGCCCCCUAGUGGUCUUAUGUUGUGGCUUGUGACCCCAUAGUGAUCUCAUUUUAUUUUCGACCUAGAGUUCCUCAUUAUAUGUGCGUUCAUGUGGUCUCUCUUUGCGCUUGACCCCCUAGUGGUCUCGUGUUAUACCUUGUGACCCCCAAUGGUCUCAUUUUAUUUUUGACCUAGAGUUCCUCAUUAUCUGUGUGUUCUUGUAGUCUCUCUUUGCACCCGACCCUCUAGUGGUGUCAUUUUAUUUUAGACCAAGAGUUCCUCAUUAUCUGUGCGUUCACGAGGUCUCUCUUUGCACCUGACCCAUAAUGGUCUCGUGUUGUGCCCUAUGACCCCUAGUGGUCUCAUUUUAUUUUCGAUAGAGUUCCUCAUUAUUUGUGCGUUCUCAUGGUCUCUCUUUGCACUCGACCCCUAGUGGUCUCAUAUUGUGACUUGUGACCCCACAGUGCUCUUAUUUUAUUUUCGACCCAUAAUUCCUCAUUAUAUGUACGUUCUCGUGGUCUCUCUUUACACCCGACCCCCACUGGUCUUAUGUUGUGCCUUGUGAUCCCCCAGUGGUCUCAUUUUAUUUUUGACUCAGAGUUCCUCAUUAUCGUGGUCUCUCUUUGCACCCGACCCUCCAAUGGUCUCGUGUUGUGCCUUUUGACCCCCAGUGGUCUCGUCUUUGCACCAAGCCCCCAGUGGUCUCGUGUUGUGACUUUGACCCAGAGUUCUUCGUAAUCUGUAUGUUCUCGUGGUCUCUCUUUGCACCUGACCACUGAUAAGUGCCAAAAAUACCUAAUUUUCAUAUACUUUUCAUGGCACUUAUCCUAUGCAAAAGUGUGAAAACCAACUGAAUUCAACACUUUUUAGAUAAAUUUUGUAUUAUUGGAUAAUAUAAUUUUUAUCACCUCUUGUUCAAGUUUCCCUUGAAUUUUGUAGGAAAUUGAUUAAUCCAAAUUAGAGCCAAGAAUUCAUGCCAAAUCACAAACCAAAAGUCCAAAGGAAAUGCUCAAAACAAACAAUCUAAUUACGACAUGUUGUGUACUUAAGCUUGUCACCAAAACCGUGUUGGCUUACCUUGAGAUAUGACUCAUGGAUGACUUAUUCAAUCAAGUUGUGUUUACUAAGGAUUGUGCCGAGACACCUACCAACAAAGUUCAAGGUAAGUGUUUACACAAUAAUGGUCCAAUGAGAAUGCUAACUAUGUUUCCUUUCGAUGUAGGUAAUGGAGAUAUAAUUUCGAGGUCGAAUUCUUUCCAAGAAGGAGGGGAUGAUGCAAUACCGAAAGAGCCUAACAUUGAUUAUGAAAGCUUUAAAGGCAUAAGUGGUCCUAUGACUUGAGCACGAAUAAAAAAGGCUCGAAAUGCCCUUGGACAACUCAUUGGGUUGAUCCAUGAUGGUGAGCCAAUGUUAGCCCAAAGGGGUUUAAAGAUGUUGAGUAGCAUAUUGGUCCAUGGUUCUGACUAAGCCAAGGAUGGACCAGGCCAUGCGCGAGAGAUAGGCCACAUACCUGGCCAAGGCUCUAAAUUUGACCCUAGUACGCGACCAGGUACAUCAGGCACCAAGCCUAACCGAGAUAAUUUUGACCAUGGCACAGGGCUAGGUGCAUCAGGCACCAAGUCUAGUCGAGGCGUGCCUGACCGAGUGGAAUUCCUGGCGCACCAAGUGCUGAGCCAAGCGAUGGGCCAAUCUGGCAUGGCUAGGAAAUCUGAACGAGGCGCGUGCAGCUAGUCGCACUAGGUGUAGCCUGAUCGAGUCAGGCCUAGCCAACAUGUUUGGCAUGGAAUAUUUUAAUUUCAAUAAUAAUUGUGUGAGCCAAUUUUUGACCAACACUUAGUUUAAUUUAUUUCAGUGUUUGUUUAAUAAAUCUGCCCAUAAAUAAUGUCUAAUUCGAAAAAUGGCACGUGAGACUUAAACCAAGCCUAAAAGUGUAACCAGCACUUUAAUGCUUGGACAAACCUAUAAUUUUCAUGAACAACAAUAGUCUAACUUAGUCUAAUAUUAUUUGGCAGGUGAAUAAGAGUUGUUGUAGCCGUUGGAGGAGGAAUGCUCGAGGGAAUGAGGAAUAUGACCGUGGAGUGGCUUAAAUCGAGCAUUUAUGGUGUUUAAACACUUUGUCUAGACCGUUGGAGCUUAACUCACCUGGGCACAAAUCAUCCAAAGGAAUCCUAAGUCAUUUUCAGAGCUGUUGGAACAAAGUUGCUCAUGGGAAAUUGCCAUGCACUCAUUGAAGACUUUAAGCGUGUAUUGAUGGGGAUUAAUGGUUGUGUUCUACCCGUUGAGGCUUGGCUACUUCAAGCCAAGAGCAUCCUAUGUUAUUCAACUCAUUAUCUAUCAUCUUUAUGCCGAGGUAAUUCUCUCCCUGGACAAAGAGAAUCCUUUGCCAAUCUUAAUUACACCCGAGGGCCAUUACGGAGACAAUAACUCCAACAUUCUACCAUGUGCUGAAAUAUGAUUCAAGACUACAAAGAAUGCAAGCAUCCUAUGCAAACUCAUCAAGUCUUGACGUGCAACUUUAAUGAAGGCAUUAAGCCUUAUUCAACAUGUGCCUAAAGGAUGAAUUUGUGCACUUAAGGAAGAAAGAAAUCCUAAGCUAAUGAAGUUUCAACCGUGGCAACCAAGACAUCCUAAGACAAUGUCUUUAUGUUUUCUUUUAAUGUAAUAAAGCACACGAAAUACAUGUGCUAAUAUAAUUACCUACCAAAUGUAGUCUAGUUUAGUAAUAGAUUCAUUUGGCUCAUGGUAUCCUAUGUUAAGUUACCAUGCAUUAGCCUUACUUCUUUUGUGUUUUAUAAGUCGUGGAAGCCUAGAUGACUUGCCUAUAAAUGAAAGCCUUUUGCAUUGGAAUAAACAAGUUAAGUUAAAUCAUAAUUCUUUGUGAAUUGAGGAUUGUAUCCUUGUAAGAGUAUUCUCCAAAACUUCUUGGAUGCACCAAGAUUAUAAGUUCUUAUCAAGAACCAAAUUCUUGUGGCGAGCAUCACUUUGGCUUAUCAACACCUCAUAAGUGUUGUGGCGCCUUUCACCUCAAGUCUUUUCCAUCUUCUUUUAUCCUAGUUUACAUUUAUGUUGCCUAUUAUUUCUUAAAAGCUCUACUCGAUCGUAAGCUUGGCCAAACACCAACCAAUAUAGAUCGUGCAAGAGCCUUUUACCCAAGAGGUUCACAUUAACUUUUAUCCUGAUUCGUUUACGGGUCCACUUGCAAACUACAUCCAGCCCUCCCCUUUUGAUCUUGGGAGAUUUUUCUUCAUUAUGUAAAAUCAAUGUUCGUUACAAACACACUUCCAAUACAAGACGCAAGAUGCUACUUUCUUGAUCUCUAUGAACUUGACAACCUUGGUUUGACCUCUCACUCUUGCCUACUAAGAUCUGAUAUCCUUUCGCGAUUAUGCCCCAGCCAGGUAUCGCUCAAUACCAAGACCUCUUGCUUCUCAUGAAGACACACCUAACAACAAAUAGGAUUUUUCCCAAACCUAUUCUCAUUCUAUGGUGAUACAACACACCAAGAGAAUAAGUUAAUGCCUUAGUCUAAAAAAAAUUUCAAGUUAUAUGUGCACCUCAGUAUGCAGAUUUUACACUCUUCUCACAAUCUAAGAACCCAACUAACAGAUCUCAUAAUUACAAAACAGAAUGCGUGAGAUGCAAAGUUUCUUUUUUAACAAGGAUUUGACAAUAAAGCCCAAUGGGUAUCUUGUAAAGAUUCACCCUUUUUCUUUUAUCAAAAGAACACUUUGAAAUCUCUCUAAAGAUAUGAAAGUUAGAGCUUUAAAUUUCCUGAACAAUAUUUGUAAACUCUUUAUUUCCUAAACGUGUUCUAAGUUUAUGAAAAGUUUUUCUCCAUUAUGAAGCAAUAUGAAAACUUGGGUUAAAACACUAUUCUGUUUUAAACUCCAGUUAAUCGAUUAAUGAGUUCUUGAAUAUAACAAAAAACAAAAAUAGUAAUAACCCUUAAUCGAUUAACCCCUCAUUUAAUCGAUUAACAGGUUCCCAAGAAAUCAACGAUUAAUCGAUUAACAUAUUUGUUAAUUUAUUAAGGGUUUUCUAAAAAUAUAUUUCAAUUAUGAAUGAACCUUCUACGUGAUUUAUAACCUAAUGAUGCAUACCUUUGAAUGAUGUAUGAUUUAAAAACACUUUUUAGAUGCAUUCGAAACAUAUGAUCAUGUAUGUAUGUAUGUGCAUGUAAAUCAUGCAUGUAUGCAUGUAAAUCUCAUUUUAGAUAUGAUUGAUUAUAGCUUGUGAGACUUUUCUUGGGGUUCAUCCUAGCCUAGACUCUUACUAAGCAAACAUCUUAAGACCUAAUAAAGAUAUAAAAAUACUUAACCCUUAGACCCCUUUUGAAUGCUUUGUCUUGCAUGAACUUCAGUUUUGACUUUAUAGUUGAUACUUGUUGUUUGUUGAUUUUCUCAUCCUCUCAAGCGUGUCCUUGAACAUUUAAUCAUGUUAUCGAUCCUUGUCUUUAUCAAUCUUUUGUCUUCAUUAAACUAUAUGUGUCAUUUGUCUUCAUCAAAACAUAUAUGAUGCAUGCUUGCAUCUUCAAUCUCCCUUUUUUGAUAAUGACAAACACUUGUUGACACUUGUUAACAACUUAUUGGAUCUGACAAUUCUUUGUUGGAGCUGCUUGAUGACAAUCAACUAUGUUUUGCUAUGUUCUUGUAAGUUGAUGUGCAUUUUUCCCUCUUGUUCCCCCUCAAUUUGAACAUUGGGUGAUUUAUUCUUUUUCGUUGUGGAAGCCUCAACUUAUCUUCUCUUGUAAGUUCUGCAAAACAUAAACAACAACUUUUCUCCCCCCUUUGGCAUGAUCAAAAAGCUAAGUGAUAUAUGAAAGUAUAUUGGCAAAAGAAAGAAAAACACAAUGUAAUUUCUACUGAUGUUAAUCGAUUAAAAUAGUGUUUAAUCGAUUAUGUGUGAUUCAAUUUUGCCCAGAAUUGCAUUUUAGAUGAUGGUUAAUCAAUUAUGGCUUCUGUUUAAUCGAUUAAACCUACUGUUAUGACAUAUUAUAGUGCAUGCCACAUGCUAUAGCAGAAAUUUAUACAAUUUGAUAUCGCUGGUUUAAUACACUUGUUUUAUACCAAUUAUGUAUAUUACAUGGAAGCAUUUGUUUAUGAUACCAUUUGUUUAUGCCUUUUCCAUUUAUAUACCACCACUCGUUUGUUGAAAGUUAAGCACAAUUAGAUCAAUGCAAUAGAUUUGAAAAAUGAUAAGCAUUUGUUCAUCCAUUGAUCAAAUGAUUACAAAAGUGAUAUAAACAAUUCAUAAUUCAAUUUGAAAGCACAAAACCAAUUCAUUCAUAGCAUGUUAUGUCAUUACAUUUCAAGUUAAAACACAAAGACAAACUAACCAGUUUGAAAAAUUACAAUGCAAUAGCCAAAAGAUUACAAAAAACACAAAACUCCUAAAAACAAUACCUAACUAGGACACUGUAGACAUCCUAAGCUAGCUAUGAGGCGGUUGCAGAAAUCCACCAAAGGAACUGAACAAAAAGUGAAGCUACAUGAAUCAACUAUAAUUCUCUUCAUCUUGUCUUCGAAACUCCACCAUGAGCCUAUCUUCCAUAUAUUAUAUCCUGGAUACAAAUUCUUGGUUCCUUGAGUCAAAUGUCUUAAUUCCAACUCAUGUUCUUGAAGUUUACCAAAUAAAGUUGCGAGCAUCAUUUAUUCCAAGUCCUUUGACUCCAUGAUGGCAGUCACAUUGGGUUGCCAUUUCCUAUUCAGGCAUCUUAACACUUUAACAGUUAGUUCAAGUUUGGAAAAUGACUUAUCUAAUGCAAUGAGUUGAUUAAUAAUUUGAGUAAAUUAUUUUUGCAAAUCAGAAAUAGACUCAUGUGGAAACAUACAAAAUAACUCAUACUCAUGCAUCAAUGUAAUUAAUUUAGAUCGUUUGACCUCACUAGUGCCUUCGUGGGUUACUUGUAAAGUGUCCCACAUAUUUUUGGCACUAUCGCAUUGAGAAACUCUGAAGAACCCAUCGUAUGAGAGUGCACAGGUUAUAAUGUUUUUCGCUUUCAAAUCAAGUUGCACUUUUCUCUUUUCCUUGUUGGUCAAGAGACUUCCAGGUUUCUCUUUCAUUUCUCCGUUCACUAUGUGUAGUGGAACGAAAGGUCCAUAUUCUAUGGAAUCCUAAAUUUCUGUAUCAAUGGCCUCAAUAAAAAUCUUCAUUCGGAUUUUCCAGUACCCCUCGCCACUGAAAAUCGGAGGGUAGUCGAUGGAUGCGCCAUCACCGCUAAACAGGUUAGAAAAGCCCAUGGAAAAGUGCCUAGGACCAACGAUCUAGGCGGCUAAGCUAGCACAGUCAUACUAACUUUGAUACCACUUGUUGGGUCCCACAGGGCUCUGUCACUCACCUAGAGGGGGUGAAUAGGUGAUACGGUACACGAUUACCGUUACUCGAUAAACAAAGAGAAAACUUAUACACAAUUUAAUCAAUUAUACACAGAUGUAAUCGAUUAACUCGAUCUACUAUUAAUCGAUUAUUUAGUUCAGUUUCAGUGAAAAUAGUUUUCUUUCGAUCUCCAAGAUUACCAAGAUUCUACUAAAGUUAUAUGCACUUGUUACAGUCAGUUAAGAACAAGAAAUGCACAAUACAGAAUAUGCAAUUAACACAGAAUUAUAUGCAUAUCAAGUUAAGUAAAACAAGUAAUGAGUAAAUGUAAAAGAUAAGGGAAAAGAAGAAUGAGACAUAGCUUUUAUCCUGGUUCGUUUGCAGGUCCACUUGAAAACUGUAUCCAGGCCUCCCCUUCUGAUCUUGGGAGAUUUUUCUUCACUAUGGAAAAUCAAUAUUCGUUACAAACACACUUCCAAUACAAGACACAAGAUGCUAUUUUCUUGAUCUCUAUGAACUUGACAACUUUGGUUUGACCUCUCACUCUGGCCUACUAAGAUCUCAUAUCCUUUCGCGAUUAGGCCCCAACCAUGUAUCGCUCAAUGCCAAGACCUCUUGCUUCUCGUGAAGACACAUCUAACAACAACUAGGAUUUUUCCUAAACAUAUUCUCCUUCUAUGGUGAUACAACACAUCAAGAGAAUAUGUUAAUGUCUUAGUCUUAUAAUUUUCUUCAAGUUAUAUGUGCACCUCAAUGUGCAGAUUUUACACUCUUCUCACAAUCUAAGAACCCUUCUAAAAGAUCUCACAAUUACAAAACAAAAUGCGUGAGAUGCAAGGUUUCUUUUUCAACAAAAGAUUUGACAAUAAAGCUCAAUGGGUAUCUUGUAAAGAUUCACCUUUUUCUUUUCUCAAAAGAACACUUUGAAAUCUCUCUAAGGAUAUGAAAGUUAGAGUUUUAGAUUUCCUGAAUAAUAUGUGUAAACUCUUUAUUUCCUAAACGUGUUCUAACUCUAUGAAACGUUUUUCUCCAUUAUGAAGCAAUAUGAAAAACUUGGGUUAAAAUACUAUUAUGUUGUAAACUACAGUUAAUCGAUUAUACUUAAUCUUAAUCGAUUAACGGGUUCUUGAAAAUAACAAAAAACAAAAAAUAGUAACAACCCUUAAUCGAUUAACGAGUUCCCAAGAAAUCAAUGAUUAAUCGAUUAACAUAUCUGUUAAUUGAUUAAUGGUUUUCUAAAAAUAUAUUUCAAUUAUAAUGAACCUCCUACAUGAUUUAUAACAUAAUGAUGCAUGCCUUUGAAUGAUGUAUGAUUUAAAAACAAUUUUUAAAUGCAUUCGAAACAUAUAAUCAUGUAUGUAUGUAUGUAUGUGCAUGUAAAACAUGUAUGUAUGUAAAUAUCAUUUUAGAUAUGAUUGAUUUUAGCUUGUGAGACUUUCAUUGGGUUCAUCCUAGCCCAGACUCUUACUAAACAAGCAUCUUAAGACCUAAUAAAGAUAUAAAAAUACUUAACCCCUAGAUCCUCUUUUAAAUGUUUUGCCUUAUAUGAACUUGAGUCUUGACUUUAUAGUUGUUGUUUGUUGAUUUGCUCAUCCUCUCAAACUUGUCCUUGAACAUUUAAUCAUAUUGUGGAUCCUUGUCUUUAUGAAUAUUUUGUCUUCAUCAAACUAUAUGUGUCCUUUAUCUUUAUCAAAGCAUAUAUGAUGCAUGCUUGCAUUUUCAAAAGUAAGAUAUAUAUUGAAGUAAGAAGUGAAUUCUAAAAUCUAAAAAAAACAAUAUUAAUAAUGGAUAAAUAAAUACUUUCCAUGAAAUUAAUGACUAGAAUAUCACAUUAGAACUUACAUCGAAAACAGGUAAACGCCUACACCAGUCUCCAAUUCAAAUACUUAUCCGAGGAACAAAGACAAGCUUCGUAGCUUGACUCAUAUUCUUCUCUCUCUUCGCAUUUUCCCAAUGCACAUCUUUUCCUUUUCUCUUCCUAUGUAAAAAAAGCAUUUAUGUGUUCACAUAUUUUUCUUUCUCGAAAAUAGCACCAAAACUUGAAAGCGCGUUGUCAAGUUUUUUUUUCUACGGUCAAAAUUAAAUACUAUUCUCUCUUUUGGUUGGCACGUCGUGACUAAUUCCCUUUUACACAUAUUUAUAGAAAAAAUAACCCAACAAUUUAUUCCAUCCGAACCUUUUUCAGAUCGAAACUGUGGCAUUGUUUUCAGAAAUUAUCACAACCUUUUUUGGCCUCUGGGUUUUCAUAUUUCUCUUACCUUUUUACCCUUUUUUUAUUUCAUUUCUUGGUUAUUUAAUUAAAUUACUGGGUUUUGGAGUUUUUAAUUUUUUCUACGGUUCAAUUUUAUUAUUCCUUUAAAUUUGUUUUAUGACAAAGGCAAAGGGGUUCUGAAGUUUAGGGUUUAUGAUUUUUUGUUCUGUAAUUGACUUCAAAGUGAUCUCAUUUUUUAAGCUAUUAGUUCUGAUUUUGGAAUUUGAGGAUAGCAAGUAAAUAAUCUAAGUGGUGCAAACAAGAAGAAUGAAAGGUGUGAGUAGGAUAAAAAAGAAGCUGCAUUUUAGCAAGAUCUAUUCAUUUGCUCGUGGUAAAACAACUUUCAAGGGUGAUCAUUCACAUAUUGGGGGACAUGGCUUUUCCCGGGUAGUUUUCGUUAAUGAACCGGAUAGAUUCGAUGGCGAGGUUAGGGAUUAUGCAGAUAAUUCUGUUAGGUCUACAAAAUACACUGUUGCCAAUUUCGUCCCGAAGUCGCUGUUUGAGCAGUUUAGGAGGGUAGCUAAUUUCUUUUUCUUGGUAAUCGGCAUCUUGGCACUCACGCAGCUUGCUCCUUAUACAGCUGUCAGUGCUAUCCUUCCGCUUUGUGUCAUCGUUGGGGCAACUAUGGUGAAAGAGGGCGUUGAAGAUUGGCGUAGGAAAACGCAGGUACUAUGUUCUGUCCUUGUUUGAACUUUGAUUUCAUAUUGUAAGUUGGAUUUUCUUAAACCUUAUGUUGUAGCAGUCUUACAUUAAGAUUUUAUUGUGUAAUAGAAUUGUUAUAUAAUUAUUGUAGAUUGCACAUUUGUUAUGAUAUAUUAUUAUUUUCCUUAUUUUUGGCUUCAUUUUGGGCGACUAACUAAUGCUCCUAGUCUGUAUAUUGUAUCAAAACCUUGUAUAGAUAUUAACACAGCAAUGAUAUUUAGAUUUCUCUCGUUCAACUACUUUUUAUCUUCAAAGCGGAUGCACAAGUCUGUAGAUUCGAACCGAAUAAGAUUGAUAUAUAGUUUCCUAUUGUCUUUAUAUUUACAUUUUCAAUGCGACUCAUGUAUAAAGCAUAUGAGACAUUAAGAGUCCAAUAGCUUGAACAAUACCAGUAAUGUUUUCUGAGAUUAUGAACUUAUUUUGGUUUAAGAAGCUAAAAGAUUCUAUUUGGUAAUAACUUUGUUUAAACUGUGGACAGAAAGAGGAUGUUCAUGGGAGUCAUAAGGUGGUUAGGGUGGAGGGUUUAAGGAGUGGAGUGAUACGGAGGUUGGGGGUUCAAAUCUCACCGACUAAAAAAUUCUAACAUUUGCCUAUAAAAAAGAAAAAGAAAGAGGAUGUUCAUUUUCAUGAUCCAUGAUGGAUAGCUUAAGGAAGAUCUAGCUUGUUUGUUUAGAUCAUUGGUAUGAGUUGUUUGAAAAAGGUUGAAGUGCAAUUACUUAGUGGUUUGGUCAUAAAUCUAGUAUUUGCUAAAAUAAUCUCAGAUUUCAUGAUCAUUUUCUUACUUGCACUUGAAGAGUCUCUUUAAAAAUUUGUCAUAAUGACAAAGUAGUGUGCGUUUAUAUUCUGCUACGAUGUGUCCCAUAUUUUAUGGUCUGUGCAAAUUUGGUUAUGAUUCUCAUUUUUUCCUGUAUAAUGAAAUAUCUACAUACAAUUAAAAUAAAGUUCUGUGUUUGAAAGAAAAAAAUGUUCAUUUACCAUUGUUUAUUUCAUAACNNNNNNNNNNNNNNNNNNNNNNNNNNNNNNNNNNNNNNNNNNNNNNNNNNNNNNNNNNNNNNNNNNNNNNNNNNNNNNNNNNNNNNNNNNNNNNNNNNNNCUUGGUUUUAUGGAAAGCCAUCAAGAUGGGGUAUAUAAUUUAUCAAAUUACUGCUGCAGGAUAUUGAGGUGAACAAUAGAAAAGUUAAAGUGCAUAAAGGUGAUGGCAUUUUCGAAUAUACUGAGUGGAAGAAUCUGAGAGUGGGGAAUAUAGUGAAGAUAGAAAAGGAUGGAUUCUUCCCUGCAGAUCUCCUACUACUUUCAUCCAGUUAUGAGGAUGCGGUCUGCUAUGUUGAGACCAUGAACUUGGACGGGGAGACAAAUUUGAAGUUAAAACAAGGAUUGGAUGUAACUUCUUCCUUAUAUGAGGACAUCGAAUUCCGUGAUUUUAAAGCUACCAUCAAAUGUGAAGAUCCAAAUGCUAAUUUGUAUUCAUUUGUUGGGAGCAUGGAGUUUGAAGACCAAAAGUAUCCCCUAUCUCCACAGCAACUUCUUCUAAGAGACUCCAAACUUCGUAAUACAGACUUCAUAUUUGGAGCAGUCAUUUUCACUGGUCAUGACACGAAGGUUAUUCAAAACUCUGUUGACCCCCCUUCAAAAAGAAGCAAAAUUGAGAAGAAGAUGGAUAAAGUUAUAUACUUCUUGUUUUGUAUUCUAUUUCUAAUUGCUUUUGUUGGAUCUAUUCUCUUUGGCAUUAUAACUAAAGAUGAUUUGGAUAAUGGAUUGAUGAAAAGAUGGUAUCUAAGACCAGAUGAUUCCACAAUUUUCUUUGAUCCAAAAAGAGCAGCUGCAGCUGCUAUAUUUCAUUUUUUGACGGCCUUGAUGUUAUAUGGCUUCUUCAUUCCAAUUUCUUUGUAUUUUUCAAUAGAAAUUGUCAAAGUCCUUCAGAGCAUCUUCAUAAAUCAGGAUAUCCAUAUGUACUCUGAAGAAGCUGACAAGCCAGCCCAUGCCCGUACUUCAAACUUGAAUGAGGAACUUGGCCAAGUUAACACAAUACUUUCUGAUAAAACUGGAACUCUGACCUGCAACUCAAUGGAGUUCAUCAAAUGUUCUGUUGCUGGGGUAGCUUAUGGUCGUACUGUUACAGAGGUUGAGAAGGCUGUGGCUAGAGGAAAUGGUUCAACUUUGAGUGAUGAGCAUGCUAAUGGGUCAGAAUCAGGUGAAUUCAGGGAACCACCUGAUCUAAAAGCACCCAUCAGAGGUUUUAACUUUACAGAUGAAAGGAUAAUGAAUGGAAACUGGGUUAAUGAGCCCUAUUCAGAUGUUAUCCAGAAUUUUUUUCGUUUAUUGGCAAUCUGUCACACUGCCAUACCAGAAGUGGAUGAUGACACAGGAAAUGUCUCAUAUGAAGCUGAGUCUCCAGAUGAAGCAGCAUUUGUAAUUGCUGCAAGAGAAGUUGGUUUUGAAUUCUACAAAAGGACUCAGACUAGUUUAUCAAUGUAUGAGCUAGAUCCAGUUUCUGGUGGUAAAGUGGAAAGGUUAGUUCUUUUCAAUUUCUUUGUCUGUUUAGUGACAUGAGAUUUUGACUGCUGCAUUUGUCAUUGUUAAUAAAAAUUCCAAGUGUUUAGAUGAAUUCUCAUUGUUAGAAGCACAUAUAAUCACAUAAUAACUUCUCUUGUGAUGGAUAGUUAAUUUUUAAUUAAGAAAAGAAGCGUACAAGUUGCUACUUUGAGAAAGCACACACAAGCACAUAAACAUGCACAUGCAUAUCGUGUCUGAUAUUGAUAUUUUCUACAUUUGGAUUUACCGACCAAUCACAUUGUUGGAAUUUGUAAUCAUUAAAUGUCAGAUACAUGUAUUUCAACAGUGCAAUUGGUUGGUCAUUCCAGAAAUCAAUAUCAGACACCACAAGCCUGUGCAUGUUUAUGUGAUUGCAUGUGCUUUUCUCAAAGUAGUACUUAACAACUACAUCUGGAGUAGUACUUAGGAAUUUGUGUACCUAGGGUGUAUCAUCUGUGUACUUAGGAACUACCACUACCACUAAUCCCUUUAUAAACAUGAAUUAAUUUAUUCCUAAAGUGUAGAUAAAUAAACAAGUAAUCAGCUGGGUGUUAAUCACUCGAGAAAUUUACACAAAAAUCUAUUUUCCUUGUUAGUAACCUUUGAUGUGGAAUUUGUAUCCUUGUCUUAUUAUUACCUCUGGAUCCAAAAGUGCUGGCUUCCUCAUAUGGACCUAAAGACUAGUAGUUGAUGCUUUGGUAUUUGUGCCAAAACAUAUAAAUGGUGGAAAAAGUUGGUUAAACUGUUGUUCAAGCAAUCUUUUCCAUUUUGUAUAUUUAUCUAUUUUUUUUAUGUUUGAGAUUAGGGAUUUCACUUUGUAAAUACGUAAUUUUUAUUUGAUUACUUAAAAUAGCUUUAGGGGUUUGGUGGUGUUGCUCGUAUUUUACAAGAAAUGCUGACUUAUAAAUUCCCUUAGUGUUAUAGUUUGUAUGUUUCUAGAUUUACUGUCUUCAUUGUCAAGUAAUUCUAAAAGGAUAAGAUAUACUGUAAGUCAGUAACUAAUUUCCAUUGUACAGGACGUAUGAGCUUCUCCAUGUUUUAGAAUUCAAUAGCUCAAGGAAGCGAAUGUCGGUGAUAGUGAAAGAUGAAGGGAGAAUUCUGCUAUUCUGUAAAGGUGCUGACAGGUUUGUGAUAAAAUAAACUAUGCCCUUUGGUAUUUUGGAGUUUUUUCCUUUGCAUUUAACUUCCAUACUCUCCUUAACUCAUAUAUUCAUGCAGUGUCAUGUUUGAAAGGCUUUCCGUUAAUGGGAGAGAGUUUGAAGGAGAAACCUUGGAACAUGUGCAGGAAUAUGCUGAUGCAGGUCUAAGAACCUUAAUACUGGCUUAUCGUGAAAUCGAUGAAGAAAAAUACAAAGAGUUUGCUACUAAAUUAUCUGAAGUAAAAAAUUUAGUUACUGAACAUCGGGAAACACUGAUUGAGGAAGUGUCCGAUAAGGUUGAGAAAGAUCUAAUCCUUCUGGGUGCCACUGCUGUAGAGGACAAGCUCCAAAACGGGGUAGGUUAGGGAGCAUUUUACAUAGGAAGAUUCAUCAAUUGGUAUAUGAGUUGGAAUUAUUCCUCAUGAUAUUGUUUUGCUAGGUUCCUGAUUGCAUUGACAAGCUUUCUAAAGCUGGAAUUAAGAUUUGGGUCUUGACUGGGGAUAAAAUGGAAACUGCCAUCAAUAUUGGGUAUAAUAUUGUUCUUUUAUUUUUUACAUUGGCUUCAACACAAGAGUUACUAUUCAAGAUGUUUGACAUAAUUAAAUAUACAAAUGCAGAUUUUCUUGUAGUUUGCUUAGACAAGGAAUGAAACAAUUUAUAAUUCAUUUGGAUAUUCCGGAAAUACAAGCAUUGGAGAAGGGUGGAGACAAGACAGCCAUCGCCAAGGUAAAAUAGAUUUUGUCCCCUAAUCUAUUUUUUAUAUAGAAUAUGUAGCUUACAUGUUGAGCAUUAUGUGUACUUUUCGAAAGCGUGUUAACAAAAUGGUCUUGGUCAAGCAUUCCAAUAUCCCCAUAACAUUGUACAUGGAAUUGAGGUUGGGUUGAAUGUGCAUAAGGGGAUGACAUUUUAAAAUUACUGUUAGACUUGAGAUUGUUUUUUGGAAUAUGAUGGUCCAAAGACCUGGAGGGUUUAUGUGAGGGGAAAAAAAAUACAUAACACUGCUGAGAGUUAGUACUGACAGUUAUGACUAGUUGUGUGUGGGGUACUGAUGUAGGGACAUUUAUUAGAUUGUGUAGGGGUGGUUGGAUUGGCAUUCUGGUCAGUUUGCGAGUGUUUUGUGACUGAGAGGUAGAGUUCUCAUUGUUAGUGGCUGGCCCUGUGUUGGUAUGUUUCUUCAGUGUUUGUCUUGUGUUUUCUUGGUGUACAGACACUACUGUAUCUGUAUUCUAAUCAAUAAAGCAAUAAAACAGUAGCACUGAAGGAGUUUCAUUUCUACUUCAGAUUUAAUUCUUGAGUUUUAUCAUUAAAGGAAAAAGGAAAGGUUUUGCUUUUAGCAAGCUUACUUACUUAACAGUCAAAGAGCAAAGAAGAAACCACAUUUUUAUUUCCCAAGAAACCAUGUUUUAUUAAGUGAGACAACAAAAUAAUUUGGAUGACCCAACUGUCUAUGUCAGACAAGGUAAAGGCAAAAGACUAGGAAGAGUAAACUAGAGAGGAAACAGUCUGCUCACUUUAGGCCCCUUUGCAAUUACCUUCCCCAACUCCUGAUCACGGGCAAGACAACUAGCCUGAGAAAAUUCACAUUACAAUUAUUAUCAACUAAUUCUCCAACCAAAAUUAAAUUAGAAGCAUGUGCAGGGGAGGAUGCAUACAUGUUUUGAAAAUAAUUUAUGAAUUGUGACCAGCAAUUCUUUUGGAACAUUCAUAGUAGAGUGUGAUGCGAAUCUCCAAGGGUGGUUUGCUUUUCCUGUACGAUUGUUCUUGCUUGAAACUCGAUUUGGCUCGCGAAAUAUGACUUGUAUGUCAAACCCACGUUUUUAGUGUUUGGUUCAAGUGUUUGGGCAAAGUGUAUGGGGAAUGUGUAUGGCAUGACUAGGGUUAGGCUAAGUGUUUGGUCAUGGUUUAGUGUUUAGGCAAGUGUAUGGGCAAUGUGUAUGGGUUAGGUCAAUGCUCACUGUUUGGGGUGAUUAUUUUGUUAUGGUCACGACUUGGUGUUUUGGUCAAGUAUUUAAGUGAAUAUGGUUAAGAUGUGAGGGUGGUUGAGGCGCCACAAGCAUAGGUGCUUGAUAAGCCUUAAGGAGGCUCGCCCAUCCUUGAUAAGACCAAGGGUAGACGCCACAUCAAGGAUAGUGAUGAGUCUUAGAACGUUACAAACACUAGGUGUUUGGUAAGUUCAAGGGUACGGAGCACGACUCACUCAAGGGAAACUCAAUUCCUAAAUUAACUUAAUUCAAACUUCAAAUACAUAUAAUUUGUGGCUAGCCUAGGGCUUCCACAAAAUAAGGAAAUAAAAUGCAUAAAGAAAACUAAUUAACUUAACAUUUCUAAGUCUUAGGAAUGGUUCAAAGCAUCUCCACAUGAUCCCACGACUUGCUUGAUUUGAAUUUGACUUGGUUUGUAUUUGAAUUUGAAAUGGACAUGGUUUGCAACUUAGUAUGCAAAUUGGACUUGCCUAGUAAGAGAUCCGCACGACCAAAACUCUCUCCCCACUUGGAUGGUAAGAGUUUGAAUUCAAUUUUGAAUUUCUUCAUAAUCUUCACGGCUACAAUCUCUCGCCAUUUGGGUGGUAAGAGUUUGAAUUCCUUCAUAAUCUCCAUGGCUACAAUUUCUCCCCACAUGGGUGGUAAGAGUUUAAAACCAAUUUGAUAACUUGCACAUCUCCCACAUGGUUGCAAAGUGAUCCACACGACCAAUUUGAAUUUGAAUUCAAAUGGAAUUCUCACAUGGUUGCAACAAAAGUAGCCACACCUAGCAUGGUAAGAGGCGAAGUCCAAAUUGAACAACACCUGACAAGCCUUAGUGAUCUCCACGACUCCAUAAGCUAUCCAUAAGGCUAGUUUGAACUUGAAUUCAAAUACCAAUGAUUUUACCACAUGGCUUGAAUUCAAAUGACUUGAACAAGUAUUCCAAGCCAAGUUGAUCCGCCUAGCUCCUUGUUCCAUGCGCCUAGCCCUUGCCAAAUCUAUCUCAACCGCCUAGCCAAGAAUGCCACAUGCCUAGCGCCCGAACAUGGGACUAGGUCCACGCCUAGCCAAGACUCCACACACCCAACACCCCACUUGGCCCUAAAUGCCAUUUUUACAAGAAUUACAUGAAUAAUCCCCAAGCCCAAUUACAUGAUUUUAUUUGCAAAUAAUAAAAAGUACUAAAAGGAAAUAAACCUAAACUACCCAUGAAACAAUAUUUCUCAUUUAUUGAAAAUAAAAAUAAAGCAACUAAAAAUAAAAGUCAAUAAUGCCCUUCAUGUUCAUGGUCUCAAGGUGGUUCUCUAGGGUGAAUGAUGUCCUUUGCAAGCUUGUCUUGUGAGAUUUUGGCCCUUUCCCUAGUUCUAGGGCCUCCUAGGUCCUGUGUGACCCUUGAAUCAAGGGUUACCCCUAGGUGGUUCACAUCAGAAUGGUGGAGUGCUCACCCCACUGUUUAAUGAAGCCAAAGUUUUUGUCUAGAGUGGACAUAUUACGUUCGUUGUAAUUGGCCAUGUCUAAUUUCAAUAUAAAGUGCUUGUUAUUGUUUCUUCAUUAUCAAUGCACUUCAGGUAAUCCCACGUCUCCUAGGCUGUUAAUAACGUAAAUUGUUGACCACUUGAGGCUUAAUGAAUCCCAUAAUCCAGGAAAUAAUCUAAGCAUCCUUUGUCUCCCACUCAUCCAACUCGGCUUUGUCCUUAGGUGCAGUGGAAGAGUCAUCAACAUGACCCCACAUUCCUUUCACUUGAAAAGGUGUAUUUUUUAAUAUAUGCUAGAUGUUUACACGGUCUCUGUAUAGGAGAGACAGGGAGACAACAAGGGGAAAAAAUCUCUUAAAUUGAACAACUAAUAAGCAUAUCGUCCAAACUAAGGAAAGAAGUAAACUAGGCUAUUAAUUAUUAGGGAGUACUGUUAUCUUUAUGUUAACAGUGUGUUAGUUAAUUAUGUUUGGCUUGUGAUAUUAGCUUAUGUUAGAUUAGCUUCCUAUGCAAACUAAUGCUUAGUUCUUCUUAUGAUUAGCUUGAUGAACAAGCUUGCCACGUGUACACCUCUAUAAAUAGAGGUACACACUCUUUGAAAUUCAUUGAUUGAAUAAUAACAAAUUCUGUAACUACCAUAAAAGAAGCAUUUACACACUCUCUCUCUGCUUCAUCCCUUUGUACCAUGGUAUCAGACCUCUAAUGGCUAAUGCUGCUGAAGAUCAUGGUUCUCCUUCUCCAUCAAUGGCGGUUCCACUGCACUCUUCUCCUCCUUUAACUCUGCCUCUUCCAACAACAAAGCUCGCAGAGCAUAACUUCCUUGUGUGGCAACAGUUCACUGUUGAUGUUCUCACAUCAAAUCAUGCCUUUAGGUUUGUUUCUGACACUGAUAUUCUAGAGAAGCAUCUUAGUGAAGAUUAUUUUCUUUGUCUUCUCAAUCCACCCUAUCUUAGCUGGGAAGAGCAGGAUCAAAUGAUCCUUUCAUGGCUACUCAACUCUCUCUCUGUCCAUGUAUGGAGGAGGAAUUAAGGGCUGACUAGAGUAAAAGUGUUGGAAGAUUUUAGAGGAUGAUGUGGCAAUCCAGAAUUAAAAGGUGUAUUGCAUGGACCAAAAUAGGUGAUGCAUCAUAGACAUGAGAGUACUGUGCACCAAAAUUAGGAGGUUCAUAGUAACAGAAGGACAAGUCAUGUCCAAAUCUGUUACAAUAUUUACAAAAGUAACUGCUUUUGUGGGGAAACCUACCACCACCACCACCACAUGCACCUCUAAAACCACCAGAUCCACGAAACCCACCACGAAAGCCAACAGUACCAGAACCAUGAAAAUGAGCCCUAAAACCUUAUGGUCGAGUGUGAAAAUGAGAUGCAGGUGCAACAAGCCUGCUUGAAGAGAUAGAAUCAGACGAAUGCAAAGGAGAAGAUGCUGCAAUGUUCACAAAAAGAGCAUCUGGGAUGGAAUGACUUCUAUUACGCUCCAAACGAGCUUCAAAUGUAAGAAGGAAGGACUGAAGAGCAUUGACACUAGGCAAUUCAUUCUGACUCUCAACUGAAGUGAUGACAGGCUGAAAAUCUUCACCUAAGCCAUCUAAAAUGAAUUCAAUAUGCUCAACAUGGGAAAUUGGAGAGCCAAUUGAGAUCAGUGAAUCAACCAGACCUUUAAUCCUUGUGAAAUACUCAGAAAUAGAACUAGAAGCCUUAGUUAUACAACGUAAUUGAGAUCUUAGCUGUCUUGCUUUGGCCUUAGUCUGAGCUUGACAAUAAUCAAUGAUUUCAAGUCACAAUUGCCUUGAAUUGACACAUCCUACAACACAAGGUUGUAAUUCUUCAGAGAGAAUUUAGAAUCCAGGAAAGGAUCAUUUGAUCUUGUUCCUCCCAACUCAGAAAAGCUGGAUUGACAUGAUGUUUAAUACGAUCGACAUCAAUGAGGAACUGAACAAGUAUAUUACUCUCAGCAAGAAACCUCUCAGUACGAUUUGAUUUCGAAACGGCUAAGAUGAAUUGACGCCAUAUGAGGAAAUUCUUUUCUGUGAGUUUGGUAGAAUGGAAGAUUGAGAAUUGGAGGAGAAGCUUGCACUGGAGCAGCAGUGUGAGAAGACGAAGGAAAAGGCGCAACAAGAGAUGGUGAACCACCAUUGGAAUCAGGAUAUGAGGUGCUAGCCAUGACUGGCGUGAUACCAUGUAAAAGUAACUGCCUAGAUAGAAAAGUAACUGCCAAGAGAGAAGGAAGAAUGAGAGAAAACUGAAUCUGUUGUAAAUGAAUUUUAUUAAACUGAAAACUCAACAAUUUGUGAGUCACUGCUCUUUUUAUAAAGAGAGGGAACGUCCUUAGCAAGCUACUGAAGUUAGCUUGACUAAUGACUUGCAGUAAACCAAAACAUACAAAAGGAAAACAGCUGAACUAAUUACUGUUUCCUAAUAUUAGUACAGUUUAGAAUAGGAAACCUCCUGAUACACACUUAUGGGCUGAUUUUGGAUUUCCUCUCAUUCCUUAUUUUGUACAUUAUAGAAUAGGAUACCUCCUUAUAUACACUUGAUCUAGCAACUAUUUCAUAAGAACAAAAUAUCUAGAGGUCAAUAUUCUAUCAAUAGGAGAUCCUACUGAAUUUGCAUCUGUAUAAGCAAGAUUGUCUGUGUCCUCCACUCGUCCUUAUUUUCAUAGAUUAGCCCUUCCUGGAGAACCUUUGAUAUACCUCAAGGUCCAAACGACUACAUCACUAUGAUCAUCUCAUGGACAAUCAGGAAACUGACUUACAAAAUUAACAUAAAAACAUAUAUUUGGUCUGCCCAUAGCAAGAUAAUUUACUUUCCACACCGAGUCUUCAAUAUCCGCUUGGGUCUAAGUAGGGGUCUCUAGCUUCUAGUAUGAGAUUAUCAUUCAGAUACAUGGGAGUAGUGACUGGUUACAGUCUAGCAUACCUGGUUUACAGCCUUAACCCAUUUGUACCUCAAUUGGGGUGAGUUAAUGCCACUGCCUCAAUUCUUCUGCACUGUGAAGUAGUCGGCUGUGGCUUUCAUCUUCCAGCAGUGUUCUCUUUCUUUAUUUGGACUCAACAUUCUCUGGUACAUUCUCAUGUGCCACCUUUUCCAGCAGAGACUUCAACAGAGAUAGACCGGUGGCCCUUUUCCAGCCAAUUCACCUCCUGUGCCUUGGUUCGACAACUCCAAAGGGUUGCUUGGCUGUGUAUCUAAUGUGGCUUAUCCUCUGUGUCGAUCUAAUGCUGUUUCGGCAUGUGUUCUCCAAGUUUUGCUGUUAUCUGUGAUGGCCUUUUGGCUAGGUUUGGUUGUGUUUGCCACUGUUUGGCUGUAUUUAUUUCAAAACUUAUUUUAUGCAUUCAAUUCAAGUUUUGCGAAAAAGCUGCUAAAUAUUAAGUUAUUAAAAAUUCCAGUAACUGCAUAUGCAUUUGAAUGUUCACUUUUGUUUCAAAAGAUAAAAGAAAGGCAAUGCGUGUGUGUAUGCUUUGACUUAUAUGUUGUUUUUUGGUACUACCAAGGAUAUCCCCUCACCUUUUAGGUAAGGAACUAAUCCCUUUCGGGGUGUGUGGCUACCCCUCCCAGCAAGUGACACCACUAGACCAACACCUUGUUGGUUGACCUAUAUGUUGUUUGCUUAAUUUGUUUAACCUCUCAAAAUAAAUUUUCUGUUAUACUGUUUCUGUUUUGUUUUUUUCCUUUAAAACUUUUCCUCACUUCUGUUGGAAUGGAUUACUUGAUGUUUAAGUAGCUUAGUGAAAGUAUAGAAUUAAUAUUAGAUUCCUGAUAUUUUUCUGGUAGUUCAUGUUUUAGGCAUCAAGGGAAUGUGUCCGCCAUCAGAUAUCUGAAGGUGUUCGACAGAUUACUGCAAACACAGCGACCUCUCACCAGGCAUUUGCUCUGAUUAUUGAUGGAAAAUCACUUGCUUAUGCUCUAGAGGAUAAUUUGAAGAACACGUUUCUAGAGCUUGCAAUUCAUUGUGCAUCUGUUAUCUGCUGUCGCUCAUCGCCGAAGCAGAAGGCACUGGUAUGUUAGUCUUUUUUGUGUUUCUUCCCCUCUAUGAUAGUCUUGUCCUGGUACAUUAAUAUUUUGGUUAAUCUGAUAAUAAGACCUGUUAGUUGAUGCGAGCAACACUGCGAGUGUAUAGUCUUGUUGUCAAGUAAGAAAAUGUUUUAUCCCAUAAUUAAUUAAUUAUUCUAGUCACUUUUCAAAAAGUAAUAUAAAUUUAAAGAGUGAAAUACUAAACAAUAUCUAGAAUUAAAGAGAAUUAAAAAUAUAUCAAGGAAUAGAUUCUAGGAUAGAGGUUAUCAAACGACAUUAAUGAAUUAACAUUUACCACAUCCUUCCAUGAAAUUUAAAUCGUGAAGGUAGACAAUCUAAUAGUGGGUAAUAUUCUCUCUUGAGCAAUAAAACCCAUAUUCACUUGAAGCCUGCAUCUAUUCUCAUGGUACAAGAUUCAAGUGAAUCCCUUACUUGGCAUCUUGCCAAUCUCUCUAUGGUUGCCCAAUGGUGCCCCCAAGAAUCCUAAGACUACUUUCAUGAAUUAGGAUUCAAGUUUGGUGUUAUAAGUUAGGUAUUCAGGUUCACCUCGAUCCUUCCCCUAUCUAUCUAAAAGGUGUGAUUAUAUGGCCAGUACACUCACACAGGUUUGCUCUCUAUUAUCCAAACUGUGACACUCACUAGAAUGAAUAGUGGUAAAUAUAACCCACCAUGGUCGAAGGGAAGAGCCCUUACCCCAAAAACUGUAGAACUAUUCACUCAUGAUAAUAGAGAAAUAAAAAGAUAUUUUUAUUGAAGAAUAAAUGAGUGAGUAAAUAAAGCCUAUUCUCUAAUCGUGAGUGUAACUCAUAUUUUGGUCACAAAGCUUCUAUUUAUAGGAAUAGUUUUGGUUACCAACCCGUACAAAAUGAUAAGAAAAAUCAAAUAAAACUAUCUUAAUCUUUGUUUUAUUAGACAUUAGAUUUAUCUUUGCGGAUAUGUUUUAUCAAUUCCAAUCAGAAUGAAUCCAAUUUAAAUCUUAUAUUAUCUUUAUUUUAUCUUAUCCUUUAGCAAGUGGACCACCAUUAUCAAAUCAUCUUUUAGUAUAUUGAUCUUUAUUUCAAGUUUUUCAUUAAAUCUGCACAAAAUAACAUAUAACAGACGUUUAAUCUGAUUUAUGUCAUAAUGCAAAAAAGAUUAAUUAAAAUCACGAUUUAGAUAGGGAUUCGCAUGUAAAAUAAGGAUUAAACAUCAUUAAUUUCUUUUUAGGUAACUAGACUGGUCAAAUCUGGAACUGGUAAAACAACAUUAGCUAUUGGUGAUGGAGCUAAUGAUGUGGGAAUGCUUCAAGAAGCAGAUAUAGGUAUUGGAAUCAGUGGUGUUGAAGGAAUGCAGGUAGUCACAACUAUGUCUUGUUUAUAUUGUUUUUCACUUUCAUAUCCUUUUUUCUUUCUGUUUGACUCCAUAUGUUUGUAUUACAAUCUUUUGUUUUGUAUCCUCUCUCGUAGGCUGUUAUGUCUAGUGAUAUUGCGAUCGCACAGUUCCGGUAUUUGGAACGAUUACUUCUUGUACAUGGUCAUUGGUGUUACCGGAGGAUGUCUUCCAUGGUACUGUUGCUUAUCUUGAUCACAGUAUUCUAUAAAUUUAGGAGCUGAAUGAUUUUUUUAUUAUGAAAUUUUUGGUAUUUAUAUUAACUUGUUCAUUCUUCUUGUGACAGAUAUGCUAUUUUUUCUACAAGAAUAUAACAUUUGGCUUCACUAUGUUCUUAUAUGAGGUGUAUGCUUCAUUCUCCGGAGAGCCUGCAUACAAUGAUUGGUUUUUGUCUCUCUACAGUAUUUUAUUUUCAUCACUUCCUGUGGUUGCCCUUGGGGUCCUUGAUCAGGAUGUAUCUGCUAGGUACUGUCUCAAGGUAAGCUUAUAUUCACAAUCUAAUAUGUUCUCAUGUUUGUAUUCAUGGUUGGGAACUGAAAAUGUUCAAUAAAAUCUUAUGGUGGUUUAUAAAAGAGAAGAGAGAACCCACAAAAAAUAAAAUUAGAAAUAAAAGCUGAUAGGAACCAGCUAACAGUAAGAAAGAAAAGACAAGGAAUUGGAAAUAAAACACUGCAGAAUAUUCUUAUUGAAAGUAGGUAGAAGUUCUGAUUGCAAGAUUAGGAAAUAUCUAGGUAUGUUGAUAAAAAGAAAACAAUUCUCUUUCUAACACGUGUGUAGUUAGUUACUACCAUAUGCAACAAAUCCCCUUUCUUCACUUGUUCCCAUUGUUCAAUUGCAACACAUGAAAAACGGGUACAAAUAAUCCGACAGCUGUAGUUUAUAGGCAAAUGCUCCGAUGCGUUCCUGCACUAGAAAGGGUCCAUAGAAGCGAGGGCUCAACUUCUCAUUUACCUUUUGAGUUAAGGAGCGCAACUUGUACGGUUGAACUUUUAAAUAGACCAUGUCCCCUACUUGAAACUCCACUUCACGUCUCUUCUGAUCAGCUUGGUCAUGCAUACGUUGUUGAGAUUUCACCAAAUUCGCUUUAAGCUCAUCAAGUAUAUUGUCACGUUCAAAAAGCUAUAUAUCCACGACAGCCACAAUUAUGCCUUCAUUACGAAAUGGAAUGAUCGUAGGAGGGUCACGCCCAUAUAAUGCCUUGAAUGGGCACAUAUUAAUAGAGGCAUUAAAAGAAGUAGUGGAAUAUGGCCAGAUUGAGUAGGCAGAACUAAUCGACCCUUAUACCAAAGACACCAUUUUGAAAUGGAAUAGAAAGGAUGGGAUUUAGGAUCUUGGACAACUUCCUGGAGGAGCUGUUUCAAUUUGUCAUCCCCCAAAACUUCCUCAGCCAACUCUAUCAGAUCGACAUUGGUACUCCAAUUGACCAGCUCCAAAACAACACUUUUUUAUAAUUAACCCACAGCUUGUGUUCUAUUAGAGUUUGAAAAACUCGUUCCAAAUGACUCAAAUGAGUUGCCAUGUCAUUACUGUACACCAAUGUCAUAAAAAAAAACUAACACAAACUUCCUCAAGUACGGUCGGAAAACAUCAUUCAUCAGUGCUUGAAAAGUUGACGGUGCGUUAGUGAGCCCAAAUGGCCUUACCAUACUCAUAAUGGCAUUCAUGAGUCCGAAAGGUAGUUUUCUGAAUGUCUUUUUCCUUCAUCCGAAUUUGGUAGUACCCCGAUUUGAGGUCCAAUUUAGAGAAAAGAGUUGCACUUCCUAACUCAUCCAACAAUUCUUCUAUUAUGGGAAUUGGGAAUUUGUUAGGUACAGUAAUGUUGUUGAGGGCUCUGUAAUCCACACAAAAUCUCCAUCCCCCGUCUUUUUUUUAACCAGAAUCAAUGGGCUCGAAAACGGACUCACACUGCGUCUGAUCAUACUUGCAUCUAACAUAUCCCUUACAAAUUUCUCAAUUUGUGCCUUGUAACUAUGAGGAUGACGAUAAGGGCGUAUGUUUGGAAUUUCAGCACCUUUCAACACAAUAGCAUGAUCACACGCCCUUUGAGGUGGCAAUUCCUCUGGGUCUUGAAAUACAUCCCCAAAUUCCUUGAUGAGGGGCUGGAUACUGUCGGGGACGUCCAGUUUUGAGGAACACAUCAUGCUCAUCAUCCCAAACUCCACAUAAUAAGCUUCAACUUCAUUUCUCAUCUCCUUCAUAAUAGCUUUAACCGAUGCCACAGUUCUGGACAAAGCAGGAUCUCCCCUCACUUCGAAGAUCUUCCCUUUAUCUUGAAUCUCCAACAAAUAGUGUCCCAAGUCAGCAGUGAAUCUCCUGAGGCUUUUCAACCAUUCAUACCCUAGGAUAACAUCCCCCCCAACUAAUUCAAACAAAUAGAAAUCAUGUACCACCAUCAAGGUUGGAAGAUUAAGCUCCACACCCUUGCAAACCCCUUGACUACCGAGGUGCUGGCCAUUCCCAACUUCAACAUAAUAGCCCUUCGUAUUUUCAGUGGGGAUCUUCAACUCUUCUACUAUGGUUGGUGCUAAAAAAUUGUUUCAGGCUCCCGAAUCCACCAUAACAAUGACUUUUUUCUCAUUAAUGGUUCCCCAUAACUUCAGCGAAUUUUUCGAUGUCAUACUAACAAUGCUACUCACGUUCAGAUGUCUAUUGAACUCCCCUACAACCUCCUCCCAACCCUUCUUCUUCAUCCUCUUCAUCUUGACCCAACAAAAUGAUAUGGAGUUGUUUGUUAUGGCAAACGUGCCCCGUGAAAUAUUUCUCGUCACAUCGGAAACACAAGCUUCUUCUCCUCUUCUCAUUUUCUUCCUCCUUGGUUAGCCUUCUAAAUCCCACUCCCCUUCGAGUUCCCUUUUAGUUUUCACCUUCGCGAACAGUGGUGCCUCCCCUUGCCUCAUUGUUCUCUGAUUUCCUAGAUUGGAAUUUUGGGGCUUCUUUGUGAUCGAAAGCUACAUUAUUUUCAUGAGGGAAUUUCUUAAAGUCUUGGGCCCCAGCCCAACCAAGGCUGUUUUACUAAACUCGGAUCCAAUGCUCCAAUUCGGGUACCCAUGAGGUCGACUCAGAACCCGGUUCCUCUCUUCUACUCUUUGUGCCAUCUCCAUAAUUUCGUUCAAGUCUCCCGACCCUCUCAUCCUUACCUCUGCUUUCACGUCUUCCUUAAGGCCAUUCAUAAAGACUCCUUUCAUGAACUCUUCAUCAAAAAAACGAAGAGGUACUGACCGAAGCUCAAAUUCUUCCCUAUACUCCAUGACCGUUCCCCUCUGUCUCAACCCCAUCAACACUUCAUAUAGGUUCGCCGAUGAUGCUAAUUGAAACCGACUCAUCAAGGCUUGCCGGAAUAAGGGCCAUCUCAUGACAGCAACCAUCCUUGAUUCCCACCACUGGAACCAAUUUAAAGCCUUCCCCUCCAAACAGACUACGGCGGUAUCAACCUUCUCCUCAUCAGGUAUCCUGUUAAUUUCAAAAUAGCGCUCCACCCUAUAUACCUAUCCAUGGGGAUCUUCUCUGGUGAAAUACAGAACCUCUACCGUCUUCACUCUUUCUCCUCUCCUAGUAUCCUCGUCGCCCCAUCCCCAAUCCAUACGGUUUCUCUCUUCCGGAUUACUAUUUUCUCCCACACCUUCUCAGCCCAACCCUCUUAUUUGUCAUACUAUCUCCUCCAACGCUCAGUCACCGUUCUCAUUAAUGUUUCCAUUUGCUGUCUCAAUGUUUGUUGAAAAGAAUUUUGCAUCCCUUCCAAUCUCUUCACCUAGAAUCUGUUCUCCCUUUCUCUUUCUGCCACGUGUGUAGUUAGUUACUACCAUGUGCAACAAAUCCCCUUUCUUCACUUGUUCCCAUUUUACCCCGAUCCUUCUUCCUUUUUCUCUAGUAUACCCUCCUGAUUGGAGGUCCAUCAAAAGCUAACAAAAUUCUUGCACUAAUUCUCUAUGGUUACAUCUUUGUACAUUAUAGCAUAACCUGUAGACCUAAUUGAUUUUUCUCCUUCACGGUAGGAAUGGCAACGGGGCGAGUCGGGGUCGGGUUUGCACAUACCCAAAUCCGAACCCGAAAUUCAAAACCCGAACCCGAACCCAAACUCAACGGGGUUGAAAAUAAAAAUACCAUUCCCAAACCCGUCGGGUUUCGGGUAACCCGAACCCGAAAAAAACCCGAAAAUGAUAAAGUAUUAAGGAAAAUAUGAUAUUAUUUUUGUGUAAUUUUUCUCUAACAUUUCUAUUUUCUCUUGUAUUAUUUCAUUUCUUUUAUGUUUGAAGAUCAAAUAGUAUGUAAAGUAAAAUUAGAAAUUAAAAACAAUUGGCAAAUGAUAGAAAUAUCAAUUUUAAAUUGAAUUACCUUACUUUGGGACGGAUUCGGGUUAGGGUCUUUGCUAUACCAAACCCGAACCCGAAAUUUAAACCCGGGUAAAACCCGAACCCGAAUCCGAACCCAAUCACAUUGGGUUUUCCCCAUUAAAUUUGGGUUCGGUUCGGGCGGGUACCCACGGGUUCGGUUUUUAUUGCCAUCCCUACUUCAUUGUUCCAUUUAGUUGCAUCUUGACAUUCACAUAAUCUGGUAAGCUCAUUUUAUAGGGGAGUAAAGUGGGGACAUUGUUUUUCAAGCCUACCAAACUAGUUAUUCAUGACUCAUGAACUAUUAAUGUUGUGCCCACAAAUCUUGAGUUUGCCUCAUUUAAAUAUUCAAGCCUAAGUCUAUGCUUGAGCUUGUUUGUUUAGCUAAUAAAUGUGUUUGAUUGAGUAUAUAUGAGCCGAGUUCAUGGAAUCAUGAAUAGAUCAUCUCAUUUACACCCCUAAGUAAUCAUAAGCAACUAAGCCUUGAUUUGUCAUAUGUAUAAGGUUCAUGGUUUGCUUAUGUGAUGAGUGAUGACCAUUCCUUGAUAUUUCUGUUUAAUGUGGCAGUUUCCUAUCUUAUACCAAGAAGGUGUACAGAACCUCCUCUUUAGGUGGCGUCGAAUUCUUAGCUGGAUGCUUAACGGUUUUAUUAGUGCCAUAAUGAUUUUCUUCUUCUGCAAAAAAACAAUGGAGCUCCAGGCAUAUGAUGCCGAGGGAAGAACCGCAGGGAGGGAUAUAUUAGGAGCAUCGAUGUAUACUUGCGUCGUUUGGGUUGUAAACUUGCAGAUGGCACUUUCUCUAAGAUACAUCACCUUGAUACAACAUAUUUGCAUCUGGGGUUCUAUUGCUCUAUGGUAUAUUUUCCUCAUGGUAUAUGGAGCAAUGCCUCCAAACCUGUCUAAAAAUGCAUACAAAGUCUUCAUUGAAACUCUAGCUCCUUCUGCUUCCUAUUGGAUUCUGACUUUCUUUGUAGCCAUCACAACAGUAAUACCAUACAUCUCAUGCUCUGCAAUUAAGAUGAGGUUCUUUCCUAUGUAUCAUGAAAUGGUACAGUACAUAAGGUAUAAUAACAAGGGAUUGAGGCUAACAUCUUUGGGUUCAACAACAACCUUUACAGACAGAACUAUUAACCAUAAACUUUAACAUAAUCUUGUUAGAACUAUUUGAACUCUGGUCACUAGCAAAUUAUGAUUAUUAUUAUCACAGUGUAGUGCUUUUUUUGAAAGGCAUGGUGUUUAUAAGUGUGUAUAGAGUAAUGACAUUUCUUUAGUCGAAAAUAUUAUCGAUUAUUUAAUUUUUUCAUUAUAUAUACAUGAUUAAAAAUAGAUAUACAUAUAUUAUUUUAUAUGUUAAAUUACAUAUAUAAUAAGUAAUAUUGAGAAUGUUUUAUUUAAAAUGAUUAUGCAUUAUAUUUAAUUGGGUCUAGGACCGAGUUCGGGUUUAAAGGUUGACUCGAUCGUCAAAGAUGCCUAAGCUGAAACUAGUAAAAAAUCAUGUCUUUUAUUAUUUAUAUAAUAAGUAGAGAGAAUCCACUUACUCCAAGAGUAAGUUUUUUGUUUAGAUUUAUUAUUAAUUCGAAUCAUUGGAUUUUCCUAGAAUUAAUGGUUAAGAUAUGAAAAUUUGUCCAUUUUGAACACUUUCUUUAACAACCAGAAACUUUAUGUCAAUAAAUUUUGAUUAUGUAGAACUCCUAUUAUUGUUCGAGUAAAGAACCGCGGACUUGUUGUCACAAUAAAUUAUCAAUGGUCUUUCAAUACCAUCGACCACACGUAAACCAUUGACAAAGUGCCGCAACCAUAUGCCAUGGUCUGGUGUUUCAAAAGAAGCCAUGAACUCUAUAACCAUGGUUGAAGGAACUAUAAGCGUUUAAAUUUUGCAGACUUCCAAGAGAUAGCACCUCUAGCCAAUAUAAACACAUAUCCAGAAGUGGAGUGUCUAUUGUUUAGACAUCCAGCGGAGUCAGAGUACCCAAUGAUCUCUAAAUUUUCAGACAUUCGAUAAGUGAGCAUGUACUCCUAUGUUCUCUUCAAGUAACACAUAACACGUUUGACUGGCUUCCAAUGAUGCAUUCCAGGAUUAUUCAAAUAUCUUCCUAAAACUCCUACAACAAAAGCUAUGUCGGGACAUGUGCAAACUUGAGUGUUACAUUAGACUUCCUACUGUAGAUGCAUAAGGAAUCUUUUGCAUUUCAUAUCUUUCAAGGUCAUUUUGGGCACUGUUCGAGACUAAACUUGUCUCCCUUAGCUAUGGGGGUAUCACCUGGUUUACUGUCUUUCAUGGCAAAUCUAUCUAGGAUUUUAUCUAUAUAGCUUUCUUGUUACAACCUUAGGAUACCUUGAGAACGAUCUCCCAGUAUCUAAAUACCUAAUACAAAAGAAGCUUCCCCGAGAUCUUUCAUUUCAAAAUUCUUCGUUAGAAAUCUCUUGGUAUCAUGCAAUAGUCCCAUAUCACUGCUAGCAAGCAUUAUAUCAUCGACAUAUAAUACCGGGAAUAUAAAUUUACUCCCACUGAAGUUAUGGUGUACACAAUCUUCAACUUUAUUUGCCUCAAAACUAUACGAGGUAAUAACUUGAUGAAAUUUGUGAUUCCAUUGACGAGAAGCUUGUUUAAGCCCAUAAAUGGUUUUCUUUAAUUUGCAUACCAUUGACUUUGAGCCAGCUGACACAAAGUUUUCUGGUUUCACUUUAUAGAUCGUUUCCUUCAUGUCACCAUUUAGAAACACAGUCUUAACAUCUAUCUGAUGUAGCUCUAAAUCAAAAUGACCUACUAGUGCCAAUAUUAUUCUAAAAGAAUCCUUCGAAGAUAUUGGAGAGAAAAUUUCUUUAUAAUCAAUGCAUUCCUUUUAAGUGAAGCCUUUAGCAACUACACGAGCUUUAUAUCUGUCAAUAUUACCCUUCGAAUCCCUCUUGGUUUUAAAUAUCCAUUUGCAACUAAUAGGUUUCGCACCUUUAGGUAAUUCGACAAGAUCCCAGACGUCAUCAUCAUGCAUAGACUUCAUCUCAUCAUUCAUGGUCUCGAUCCACUUUUGAGGGUUAGAACUUUUCAUAGCUUGACAAAUGUUCAAUGGAUCAUCUUCUGUUAACCCAAUGACAUCCUCAUGUUCUUGAAGAAAUACAAUAUAAUCAAAAGGAAUUGCACUUCUCCUCUCUCUAGUGGAUCUCCUUAAUGACACUUCUACUUCUUGAGGUUGUUCUAUAGGUACUUGAGGGAGAACCUCAUUGUUGUCUUGCUCUGAAAUAUUGUCAGGGACAAUAUUCUGAAUAUUAUCUUCUAUUACUGAAUUUAUUCCUUGAAUAGUAAUAGGCACAAAAACUUGUUCACUAUCACUGACAGGUUCUUCCUCAAAGACAACAUUCCUUAUGUUCUCUUCCCUCCCAAAAUCAACUUCCUCAAGAAAUCUUUCAUUUCCCGUCUCAAAAAAGAGUCUUGAAGUGGGAUUAUAAAAUUUAUAGCCCCGACAACGUUCAAAAUAGCCAACAAAAUAACAGCUAAUUGUUCUUGAGUCCACUUUACUUUCACGCGGCCUAUAAGGUCGCGCCUCAGCUGGACAACCCUAAAUGUACAAGUGUUUUAAGCUUAGUCUUUUGUUAGUCCAAAACUUAUAUGGGGUUUUGUUAACAGUUAUACUUGGCACCCUAUUAAGGAUGUAAACUGCAGUCUUUAAAGCUUUCCCCAAAGAGACUCUGGUAAGGAAGAAUGACUAAUCAUACUUCUCACCAUAUCCUUAAGAGUUCGAUUUUGUCACUUAGCAACACCAUUUAUGCUAGGUUUGCCUGGCAUAGUGUAUUGCAGAACUAUUCCACACUCUCUGAGGAAAAGCGUAAAUGGCCCUAGACGUUGUUCUCUUGAUCUAUCAUAUCUGCCAUAGUAUUCACCACCACUGUCAGAUUUGACAGUCUUAAUUUUCUUUCCAAGUUGAAGUUCAACUUCAGCCUUGAAAGACUUGAAAACAUCCAAGCAUUAGGACAUCUCAUGUAUAAGAUAUAAGUAGUCGUACUUGGAGUAAUCGUCUAUGAAUGUAAUAAAAUAAUGUUGUCCAUUCCAAGAAGCCAUAGGGAAAGGAACACAGAUAGUUCUUUCGACACCUGAUUUCCUUUUGUUUAUUUGUUUUCCCUUAAUGCUCUCAACACAGACUUCAAAGUCUAAUAAAGCUAAAGGGUCAAGAAUUUCAUCCGACACAAGUCUUUGA
rnacentral:lncRNA from 1 species